rnacentral:lncRNA from 1 species
AUACAUUCGAAAAAAAAAUAUAUAUAUCAUUACUUUAUCUCUCUUUCCCAUAUUUACUCCCUUUUUUUCUCCCAUUAAAUAAUUUUUUACUUUCUCUCUCUUUCUCAUUUACUUUCUCUCUCUUUUCCAUUUACUUUCUCUCUCUUUUUCAUAUUUGCUCCAUUUUUUUCUUCCAUUAAACAACCGAUUGUUCUUCCAUUAUUGAAUACCUUUUUUCACGCCCAAAUGCAAGUAAUCGUAUACUUAGAGGUUACCAAUUUGUAAGUUAUCAAACAUUUAUUGAACUUAUAUACUGAUUUUUUUUCAAUAAGUUUUAGUUUUUUUUUUCAACUUUACCAAAUCACAAUCUAGGUCGAUUUUUUAUUGCAUUUUUAUUUUUUAUGAAAUUAAUUGCUUUUGCAAAUCCAUUUCAGUGUGAUAGUUCGAUAAUAUCAUUUUUUCAUUUAUUAAAAUUCAGAUUUUUGUUUUUGUUUUAAAGUUGUUGGUUCUUAUUCGGAUUCUUGUUUGGUUACAUGUUGAUUUUUAUGAAAUUACCUUAUUUUGCAAUCUCAUUCUAGUUUGUUAGUUGAUUUUUUUCUAUUUUUUUUUCAUAUAAUACAAGGCAGAUCUUUGAAUUUCUUGUUUAUAGUUGCGAUUGCUUAAUCAAUAUAGUAUAAAUUUGGUAAUGGAUUCUCGUCCUAGCUUUAGUUUAGGACUUAAUCAGUUAGAUGCUCAAAAAAAAAUAUUGUCGUUGGUUUUGUUCCUGACAUAUUUGAUAUUAUACGUUUAUAUUAUUUUAUUAUACAUUACUUUAUUUUUUAGACUAAUGUAUAAUAUUAGUUUUCUGCUUUAUAUUCCAUUAUAUUAUACAAUAAGAAGAUGUACAUAAAAGAGGCAGUUAAAAAAUGAUUGUAUAAGCUUACAUUAUUCAUUAAAGAAGAUUUUUUGAAAAUGUAUAAGCUACCAUCAUACAUGUCUGUCUGUAGUUUAAGUAUAUUCGAUAUUACAUUUAAGAUGUAUAAGUAUAUAUGAUAUUGCAUUUUUUAAAUGUAUAAGUUACCAUCAUACAUGUCAAUCAAAACGCAUUUGAUGUUGAAUAUGUUCAAAACAUGCCCCAGCAAGCAUCUGAAAGUUUGUAAGUAAAUUAUAAUUUUUUUUAUAAUGUAUAACUAUAUUUAAAUUAAUGUACUUACUGUUACUUCAUUUUUAUUUAUUUUUUAAAUCAAGGACUGUGGCGUCUUUGUUACUGCUUAUGCAGAAAUAUGAAGUGAAGGGCAACAAGUGCAUUCAUGCGUGUUUGAUGCUGGAAGUCAACGUGCAUGCUAUACUUCAUUAUUGUGGCAUUACGAAGUAGAAAAGGCAAAUGAAGGGUACAUGAGUGAUAAUGGCGAAAUAGUGUGCGAAAUUGAUGAAAGUGCAAUUGUUACUUUAGAGUAGUUGUUUAAUAAAAGUCGAAAUUUAAUCAACUAAAUCUUAGUUUUUGUGGUUGAUGUUAAACGAAUUCAAAGAUUACUUUCUGGAUAUUAAUUUACAUUUAUGGAUGUCUUCAUCUUAUGAGAAUAUGCUUUUUAGUCACUGAGACACUACUGCAAUGUUACUAGCUGAUUCAUGGUACUUAUUAAAUUUCUCUUUCACUUAUUUUGUUAAUGAUUAAAACAACAUAUUAUUAAUAAAUCUGACAUUGUAUUCUGAACACAUAGUAUGUUUCCUGUUAUGUACCUUUGCUUAUAAGUGAAUCUUACAUUGAACUAAAGUGAAUCUUACAUUGAACUAAAGACUAAUACAUUUUAAACGUAUGUAUUACAUAACAGCAUACAUGUUGUAAAACGUUUAUUACUUGCAAAAAAAUUACAGAAAUUGUUAAUACCAUGCACAUUUAUAAUGUAUGAUGCUAUAUCAUACAUUGAUAUGAAUGUAUAAUCAAAUAUUAUACAUUCGUAAGUCUACUGGAAUGGCACAGUAUCACUAUACGUUGCUUUGAAUGUAUAACAAUUUAUUAUACAUUCAAAUGUUUACUGGAAAGGCACACAUUUAUUAUACAUUGAUUUGAUUGUAUAAAAACAUAUUAUACAUUCAUAAAUUUACUGGAAUGAUACUGCGUAUAAUUUAUUUUUUAAGAAAAUUGAAUUCAAUUAAAUUUCGUUAUUGUAUUUCUAACCUCAUACAUGUUAAAAACGUAUAAUGCUAUAUCAUACAUUUAUUACACAUUAACUAUUAAUGUACAACAGUUUAAUACAGUUCAAUACACCGUGCGUUUCAACAAUUACUUACUCCUAUAGAGAGUAAGUUACAUAGUUAAUGUGCUUUUAUAAUAGUGUUCUAACUUCAAGUUAUAUGGUUACGAACUAUGAUAUAGGAAAAAAACUUAAAAUUUUUAUACUAAUAUAAAUCAUUGAUUAAAGAAAUUCACAUCUAUAAUCAAUAAAAAAAUAUAAAUUACUUGCUCCAACAUUAAAAAAAAAUUAAUAAAAAAUAUUUAUACAAUCAAAAUCAUUCAAAGUAUCUGCACAUAGAAAACCAUAUUAUAUUAUUCAUGAUUCCUUUGGAAAGAAACCGCAUGUUUUGCGGGUGUGAUCGACUCGUCCGCAUUUACAGAAAUUACUAUUGCAUCACUUUUGUAUGACGUAUAACUAAUUUCUGACUCCCAAAUUCCAGAAUAUCGCAACAAUAUGGGGAUAUUCAUAUUGAUUUUACUAAUAUUGAAGAACGUAUGUAGAAGAAGAUUUUAGUAGUUUUGGAGAACGGAUGCAGAAGAAAGUGGUUAUUUUUUAGCUUUCCAGAUCGUGAAUCAUAGGGAAAAAAAAUUAUGUAUAACAAAAUUUUUAAAAUUCAAAUAUCAGUUACAUUGUUCUAUCAAUAAAUGACUUAAUGUUGGCUAAUUAUUGUCUUUAAUUAAGGAACUGUAAAAUAAUUAAAGAUUCUCUUACCUUAAAUAUAGGAUUAGUUGUUACAUCAUACAUUCGACCAAUGUAUAAUAUGUGACCGAAUGUAUGAGUAUGUUUGCAAAAAAAGGGAGAGAGAAAAUAAGAAGGGAUUUUGUGUAAUUAUUUUCAUUGUCUAUGAAAUUUAUGUUGUUUACACUAAAUAAACUAAAGAAGUGAAGUUAAGUUUGGGACCUCAGAUUAGGCCCAUUGGUAUUUGCCCAGCUUGUUUUGCCUAUUUUUUUUUUUUUUUGUGGAUAUCAGCCUUUCAGCUGUGUAUAUCAACAAUAUACUGAUUGUAUACCAGCCCUUUUAUGUUUCAUUUUUAGUAUAUUUCAGCAUAUAUCAGCGGCUAUCUUCUUCGCAUUUCCACAUAUUUGCUCCAAGAACUGUAUUAUUUCUCACCGGAUCUGUGUAUCACUUGUAUAUUACUGUAUACUCAAUAUAUACUGGUGUAUACCAGCAAUGUUCUCAUUCUAAUCAGUCCACUCCGGACUUAUUUAGACAUGAGAUGGCAGGGGUUCGACUCCGAAAAUGCAGGAAAGAGAGUCCCAUGGACUCAGGUGGUUCAUGCAUUGCAAAGAAGAGAUAGAAGAUUACUACAUGAUGCAACAAAGAUCCAACAUUGUAUGAACAAGAUAACAGAGAACAUAUUCAAUCAAUUGGUUUUGAGUUUUCACACUGUCCAAGAGUUUUCUUGAAUAGAAUAGAACAACUCUAAUAAUCAGAGAACUCAAAUCAAUAUUUAUACCUAAGCUUACGCCAAUUUUUAAAAUCAUGCGACCCAAAACGCCUCAAACACGUUCAAGAAUAGGCAAUAAAACCCCCAUAACAAAAAUUAUAGACGAGCCAAAAUUUCAAGAACUAUAAAUUUAAGAUGAACUAACAGUUAGGCAGGUAAUCUUGGGAUAAUCCUAUUUCUGACAAAAUUAUAUAUCCUGUGAUUUUACGCAACAACAUAAGCAAAUAAUUUCAAAGUAACAAACUUAUAACAAAUUUUAGAGGUGAUUGUUAGGUGACAGGUUAAUUCUCAAGUUUUGAAAACCAAUUGGUUUAGAGAAAUAUCAUAUAUUAGCACACAGGGGAAAUGAGGAAGAAGUAUGGAUAUCAAACAAGAUAGGAAAAUAAAUGAAAGAAAAGGAGAAAAGAAAAUAGCUCACUGGCUUUACACCUCAACAAGACCUAUUUAAAUCUCCUGUUCACUUUCUAACGCAAAUAACUUAAAAGAAAUCUUGAAGACAUAAUCUUUAAAUCAAAGCAAAAAUAUAGAGAAACCGUCGACUACCCCAGAUCACCCUCAUCCUCUUUACGGCUGACCAUAUCAGUCCGUAAACUACUUUGUUUUUCCGCACGUGGAGACCAAGCUUUACACACAACAAUGACGAAACUGAAGUUAGUAGGAGCAGAUUUUUGUCAAGCAAAGCAGAUCGUACGAACAAUGUGUGGAUAAUAUAAACGAGCCAUGGAAUGAAAAAUCAAAAGCUUUGGAAUCAAACCACGAGAAAUUGGACAAAUUAACAUCUAACAGAAAACAAAUAGCCUUCAGUUUUCACCAAUCAGCAUCGAAACUACUGAUUAAUCCCUUUAUCACAGCAACUAUAAAAUUCCAACUUCUGGAAUUACAACUCAAGAAUCAACUACCCUCGGAAAGACGUGAACACAAUUUUUCAUUAGUUUUUGGCUUAAAUCACAACUCCAAACUUCUAACAUAAUCAGAUUUUAACAAUUAAACUCAAACGACGGAUAAGACUCAAAAUGACCAUCGGAUUCAUCAAAUUGUUCGACAUAUGAAGGCAGGAAACAACGAAAGAAAAAGAAAGAAGAAAAAAUAAAAUGAUGCGGUCACAUAACACCAAAGAGAAUUCAUACCAAACCAAACAAGUUCAAAUUCAACCUGAGAGGAAAAUAUCAAUCAAUUACAGGAGGAGAACUAGAUGAGUAUUUUACCUCUUUGCAAGCAGAAAACCGGACUACAGGCUUUGUCAGAAUCUCUCUACCAUCACCGAAAUGAACUUGGAUUCUUAUCCUAUAUAUUCGAGCUCAAAACAAGCCUUAUCGAAUUUCUCAGCACCGAAAUCCUUCUUCAGAUAGCAAAAUCCUAUGCUUUCUUGGGGUUCUCGCUAUCCGAACUUCCCCACCUUUCAGUGAAAAUAAUAGGAAUAUAUACAGAAAAUAUUUUUGAGUUGAAUUGUUGUUUUUUAGUGAUGUGGGAUGGAAAUUAUGAGGGACAUGUUCGAAAUUCUAAAAGGCUGAUAGAUAAAGUCCCAUGAAUGAGUUGGAUUCGUACUAUUUUGGUACAAAAUUUGAAUUUCAAAUUCAAAAGCAGACAUGGGUGAGCUGUACGCGUGGGCUCGGGUCGAUUCGCCUAUUGGAAUUUUUGUUGGCGUUGGGUCGGUUUGAGUUUUUUGGAGUUGCUAUUGUUGAUUGUUGGUUUCAUAGAAGUGUUAAUGGAAAAUAGAGAAAAAAUGAUGGAGAAGAGGAGACACCAAUUUGGAAAGUGUACUCUCAAAAUUGAAAAGUUCACUAAUUCUCCCACAUUGGUGCGUUUAAGGAAUUUUGGAGUGUUUAUAAUGAUGAACACUUACUCCACAUGGUAAGUGAGGCAAGAAAUAAGAGAUGUCUCGCGCCAUCGUUGCUCGCUCGGCUCGACUUUAGAUUUGAUUGAUCGAUCGAUGAGAUCUAUCUUUUUGGACAAAAUUUAUUUGAAUUUUGAAAAUACCAACAGUAACGCAGUAAAUAUUUUCUGUGUUUAAUACUCCAUUUAUAUGAUUUCAGUUUCAUUACAAAAGCAACGAGAGCAUCCAUGCAGAAGCUAUUUCGAACAGAUGCUUCAGAUAAAUUUUGAAACUGAUGCAAUUUUUCACUGAAAUGGUGCGUAGUUUCAAAACUGAACUAAUGCACUGUUCCAGUAAAUUGAUGCACUACUUCAGAACUGAUGCAUUGUUUCAAUGAACUGACAUACUUAUUUACGGAAUGGCAUGCCUGUUCAAAACAGUCACAAUGUUUGGACGAAUAGACAUGAAUUUUCAAAAAAGGUUACACCUUUUAGAUGAACCUUUGCCACUUUUCAGAAGAGGCAUCUUGUAGCUAGAAAAAACUAAUUUCAUCCACAGGUUUGCAUACAAAAUUUUUCAGCUUAAAAACUCUCUUCUUGUCUCAAAAAUAUUCUGUGUGAUCAAUCAAAACGUUCUGUGAGUUCGAAGAUAUUCCAACUGUUUGAGGUACCGCUACUGUUGGUCUGUUAGCCAUUUUAUCCUAGAAGAAAAAAUUCCACAACCUCGGGUACAGUGAGGGGGAUUAUUUUCUUAAGAAAAAUUCGUGAAUUCUGACGACUUGGCUAUUUUCUGUUUCAUCUUAAUUUCUGCAAAGUAAAAUACACCUCUUGGAAAGGUCAUUUUGAUCUUGUGGUGAGAGUAUUUGAUAUACUUCGUUGUGUUCUUCUUUAUACUUGAACUCAAGUUGAAGUUGGUAUUGUAAUAUACAGAUUCUGCAUACCCGACUAUAUUGUGGGAAAUAAUAAUCUUAAGAAAAUAACAAUAUUACAAAAUAGUAUAGCUUGUUUUUGGAGAUUAAAGUUUCUACUUUCUACUCCGCCUGAACUUAACUAGUGAUUUGAAGCCAUAAAAACUUCGUCACAAGUUAAAGAUCAUUCCGUUGACAAUUGGAAGUCAUAAAAACUUCAUUGUUAACUAAAAACAAGAAGAAAAAUUUUAAGUUGCUUAACGAGCACCUGAUCACUUUUCGGAGCGCGAUAGCCAGGACCCAGAUUGACUUUUUGUUGCUUAGGAAAGGGGAUAGGGCGUUGUGUAAAGACUGUAAAGUCAUCCCGAGUGAGAAUCUUUCGACCCAACAUAGGCUCUUGGUUAUGGAUUUGGGUAUGAAGAAGAAUAAAAAGAGGAGGAGUAAGGAGUGUAGACCGAGAAUUAAGUGGGGCGGUUUGACGCCAGUGAAUGCGUGGGAGAUAGGGGAGAGGUUGGCGGGAAUGGGGGUGUGGGAGUGUAGGGGGGACGUGGAUAAUAUGUGGGACAGGGCGGCAGCGUGCAUCAGGGAAAAUGCAAGGGAGGUGUUGGGUGUUUCUAGGGGCCGGGCCGGACAUCAUCGGGGGGAUUGGUGGUGGAAUGAAGAGGUGGGGAAGAAAGUGGAGACCAAGAAAGAGUCGUAUGCUAAGUUGGUGGAAAGUAAGGACGAAGAAGAGAAGCGGGUAAACCGGAAAGAGUACAAGCUAGCGAGGAAGGAGGCGAAGUCAGCGGUCACGGCAGCGAAGACUGCCGCUUUGGAGCGCUUAUAUGCAGGGUUACAGGGGAAAGGAGGGGAGAAAAAGUUGUUCCGACUCGCUAAGGCUAGGGAGAGGAAGGGUCGUGACCUCGAUCAGGUGCGGUGCAUUAAGGGGGAGGACGGUAGAGUGUUGGUGGAGGACGGCCACAUAAAGAAGAGAUGGCAGUCGUACUUUCAUAGGCUCUUGAAUGACGAGGGGGACAGAGCUAUUGUGUUAGGGGAACUGGAGCACUCAGGGGAGUGUCGGGAUUUUAGCUAUUGUAGACGUUUUAAGGUAGACGAGGUUAGACAGGCAGUCCGCAGGAUGCGAAGGGGUAGGGCGACGGGGCCGGAUGAGAUACCGGUGGAGUUUUGGAAGUUCGUUGGAGAGGCUGGUGUAAGGUGGUUGACUGCAUUGUUCAAUGAAAUUUUCAGGACGGCAAAGAUGCCCGAGGCGUGGAGGUGGAGUACCAUGAUCCCCCUCUAUAAGAAUAAGGGGGACAUUCAGUGUUGCAAUAACUAUAGGGGGAUUAAGUUACUGAGUCACUCUAUGAAGAUAUGGGAGAGAGUGGUCGAGGUGAGGCUGAGACGGAUAGUGUCUAUUUCGGAAAACCAGUUCGGAUUUAUGCCCGGCCGCUCGACGACGGAGGCAAUCCACCUGGUACGGAGGUUGGUGGAGCAGUAUAGGGAGAGGAAGAAGGAUCUGCACAUGGUGUUCAUCGACCUGGAAAAGGCGUACGACAAAGUCCCCAGGGAAGUGCUUUGGAGAUGCUUGGAGGUGAGUGGAGUACCGCAGGCAUAUAUCAGAGUAAUUAAGGAUAUGUAUGAGGGAGCGAAAACCCAGGUGAGGACGGCGGGAGGAGACUCAGAGCAUUUCACUGUCCUGACAGGAUUGCAUCAGGGAUCUACUCUUAGUCCCUUUUUGUUUGCGUUAGUAAUGGAUGUGUUGACGCGGCGUAUCCAAGGGGAGGUGCCGUGGUGUAUGCUUUUUGCAGACGAUGUAGUCCUGAUAGAUGAGACUCGAGGGGGUGUGAAUGACAAAUUAGAGUUGUGGAGGCAAACUCUGGAGUCUAAAGGGUUCAGGGUGAGCAGAACCAAGACAGAGUAUGUGGAAUGUAAGUUUAAUGACGUGAGGCGGGAGAAUGAGGUAGUAGUGAGGCUAGAAGCACAGGAGGUAGGGAAGAGGGAUAAGUUCAAGUAUCUCGGGUCCGUGAUCCAGAGUAACGGUGAGAUUGACGAGGAUGUCUCGCACCGUAUUGGGGCGGGAUGGAUGAAGUGGAAACUCGCAUCGGGGGUGCUGUGUGAUAAGAAGGUGCCGCCCAAGCUUAAAGGCAAAUUCUAUAGGGUGGUAGUCCGUCCGGCCUUGCUGUAUGGAGCGGAGUGUUGGCCAGUUAAGAACUCCCACAUCCAAAAAAUGAAGGUGGCAGAAAUGCGGAUGUUGCGCUGGAUGUGUGGACUGACCCGAGGGGAUAGAGUUCGGAAUGAGACUAUCCGGGAGAAGGUUGGUGUGACUUCAGUGGAGUGUAAGAUGCGGGAAGCACGAUUGAGAUGGUUCGGACACGUCAAAAGGAGGGGCAUGGAUGCCCCGGUCCGUAGGUGUGAGAGGCUAGCGUUGGAUGGGUUUAGACGGGGUAGGGGUAGACCGAAGAAGUACUGGGGUGAGGUGAUUAGGCGGGACAUGGAACAGUUACAGCUCACCGAGGACAUGAACCUCGAUAGGAAGGUCUGGAAGAUGCGAAUUACGGCAGAGGAUUAGGGCCAGUUCGGGUCGCUAGUGUAGGGGAUUAAUUGGUGGGGGUGUAUUCCUGUUAUGAUUCCGUAUUCAAUGUUCCGUGUCCCGUGUUCCAUGUUUAUUACGAAUAUGUGUGCUUUCCUCUGCUUUAUAUUCCUGCAUUCCUGUGCCGUAUCUAUGUUACGUCAUCUGCUUCUGUGCUGUACUAUGUGUUUGUAUGAUGUCUCGUGACUUGAGCCGGGGGUCUUUCGGAAACAGCCUUUCUACUUCAUCAGAGGUAGAGGUAUGGACUGCGUACAUCUUACCCCCCCAGACCCCACUAAGUGGGAAUACACUGGGUUUGUUGUUGUAGUAUUCUGAAAAUACUAAUUAUUUUUUGUCUUAUGGUGACAGAAAAAUGACAACUGAAAGUCAAAUGAUGGAUGCGACAAUGUCUGUGGGGGCAACUAAUAUUUUCAUAUCAAGUCGCACAAAUGCUCUGCUAACAAUGGCACCGGCGGAGACGCCCAGAAAAUUUGUGGGCAUUGACUUUAAGUGGUGGCAGCAAAAAAUGUUCUUUUACCUCACCACUUUAUGUCUGCAACGGUUCACUAGCGAAGACGCUCCUGAGGUGCCCGAGGGAACCUCGGAAAAAAAUCUCUUCGUAAUUGUAGAAGCUUGGAAAUAUUCGGACUUCCUUUGUAGGAAUUAUAUUCUAAGUGGUCUCCAAGACGACCUCUACAGUAUUUAUAGUGGAACCAAGACAUCAAAGGAACUGUGGGGGGCAAUUGAACGAAAAUAUAAGACGGAGGAUGCGGGAAUUAAGAAAUUUCUUGUUGCACGGUUCAUGGACUUCAAAAUGAUAGAUAGCAAAUCUGUUGUCUCUCAAGUAUAAGAGUUGCAAGUCAUCAUACAUGAUCUCCUAGCAGAAGGUAUAUCUUUGAAAAAUACCUUAGUUGAAAAAAUUUAAAAUGUUCUUAAUACUCACAUAAACUGUUUUGUAGGUUUAAUUAUGAAUGAUGCUUUCCAAGUAGCAGCGAUAGUUGAGAAGCUACCACCUUUGCACGGUUCAUGGACUUCAAAAUGAUAGAUAGCAAAUCUGUUGUCUCUCAAGUAUAAGAGUUGCAAGUCAUCAUACAUGAUCUCCUAGCAGAAGGUAUAUCUUUGAAAAAUACCUUAGUUGAAAAAAUUUUAAAUGUUCUUAAUACUCACAUAAACUGUUUUGUAGGUUUAAUUAUGAAUGAUGCUUUCCAAGUAACAGCGAUAGUUGAGAAGCUACCACCUUUGUAGAAAAAUUUAAAAAAUACUUAAAGCAUAAAUGCAAGGAGAUGACUGUCCAAGAUCUUAUUGUCUGACUACGUAUUGAAGAGGACAAUAUAGUUGCCAAGAGAAGGUCAAAAGGGAAUUCUACAAUUAAUGGAGCACAUAUUGUAGAAGAUGAUCAAAAUAACUCCAAGAAAAGGAAGAAAGUUGAACAAGGAAGCAAUCAACCCAAGAAAAAAUUUAAGGGAAAAUGUUUCAACUGUGGCAAGAUUGACCACAAGUCCACAGAUUGUCGUGCCACAAAGAAAGGCAAGAAGAAGGAUCAAGCAAAUAUGAUUGAAUCCAACAAAGAAUGUGAUGAUCUGUGUGCUAUGUUCUCAGAAUGCAACUUAACGGGGAAUCCUAGCUAAUGAUGGAUGGAUUCUGGUGCCAACCGCCAUGUAUGUUCCAACAAGGAGUUGUUUUUGUCAUUUACUCCGGCUCAAGUAGAAGAAAUGAUCUACAUGGCUAACUCCACUACUGCUAUGGUAAAGGGAACAGGAAAAAUUUGCUUAAAGAUGACUUCCGGCAAGGUCUUGACACUGAAAAAUAUGUUAUAUGUUCCAGAGUUACGUAGGAACUUAAUUUUUGUUUCACUCCUAGAUAAGAACGCAUUCAAAUGUGUAACCGUUUCAGGAAAAAUUGUAAUUAGCAAAGGAGAAAUUUAUGUAGGGUAGGGAAAGGCUAUAUGACCGAAGGCCUUUAUAAGAUGAAUGUAAUGAUUGUUGAAAUAAAUAAAAGUUGGAAUUUUUCUUAUUUGCUUGAGUCUUAUGAUUUAUGGCAUGAACGUUUAACUCAUGUUAAUUACAAAACGUUAUGAAAACUAAUUAACUUAGAAUCUUUGCCAAACUUUGAGUGAGAUAAAUUAAGGUGUCAAACGUGUGUGGAAUCGAAGUAUGCAAAGCAUCCUUAUAAGUCUGUUGAAAGGAAUUCCAAUCCCUUAGACUUAAUACACACUGACAUUUGCGUUAUAAAGUCAACACCAUCACGUAGUGGAAAAAAGUAUUUCAUAACUUUUAUUUAUGAUUGCACACGAUAUUGUUAUAUCUACUUGCUAAAUAGUAAGGAUGAAGCAGUAGAUACAUUUAGGCAAUAUAAAACUGAAAUUGAAAAUCAGUUAGACAAAAAGAUCAAAAUGAUAAGAAGUGAUAGGGGCGGAGAAUAUGAAUCUCCCUUUGCGUAAAUAUGCGUAGAGAAUGGAAUAAUCCAUCAAACUACGGACCCAUAUUCACCUCAAUCUAAUGGAAUUAUGAAAAGAAAAAACUGAACUUUGAAGGAAAUGAUGAAUGCUUUACUUAUAAGUUCUGGUUUACCGCAAAACUUAUGGGGGAGGCUAUCCUUACGGCCAAUCGUAUGCUCAACAGAGUUCCCCAUAGUAAGACACAAUCAAUUCCUUACGAAAAAUAGAAAGAAAGAAAACCCAACUUUAAAUAGUUCAAAGUGUGAGGGUGUCUAGCGAAGGUUCAAGUUCAUAUACCUAAAAGGGUUAAGAUAAGACCUAAAACGGUGGACUGCGUAUUCAUAGGAUAUGCUAAAUGUAGUAAACCAUGUCAAUUUUUGGUUCAUAAAUCCGAACAUUCUGAUAUUAAUGAAAAUAAGUAAUUGAAUCAGAAAAUGCUGAAUUCUUUGAAAAUAUUUACCCGUAUAGAAUUAGACAUGAACAGUCUAGUGGAAGAUCUAAACGACCUCGACUGUACAUAAUUGAGAAUGUACAUAAUGAAGAAAAUCCAAGACGUAGUACACGUCAAAGAACAUCAACUUCGUUUGGAUUGGAUUUUGUAAUAUUUCUCUUAGAAAUGAGCCUCAAACGUUUACAGAAGCGAUGUCAUCGUUAGACUCAUCCUUUUGGAAAGAGGCAGUCAAUAGUGAGAUAGAUUCAAUCUUAAGCAACCAUACAUGGGAAUUGGUUGACCUUCCUCCCGGUAAUAAACCUUUAAGUUCUAAAUGGAUCUUCAAAAGGAAAAUGAAGACGGAUGGUACUAUUGACAAAUACAAGGCAAGACUUGUAGUAAAAGGCUUCAAACAAAAGGAGUGCCUUGAUUACUUUGAUACAUACUCGCCAGUAACAAGGAUAACCUCAAUUCGAAUGUUAAUUACCUUGGAGGCGGUAUAUGAUCUUCAAAUCCAUCAAAUGGAUGUGAAAACCACAUUCCUAAAUGGAGAUUUGGAGAAAGAAAUAUACAUGGAACAACCUGAGGGUUUUGUGGUUCCAGGAAAAGAAAAUAAGUUGUGUAAACUUGUUAAGUCACUUUAUGGACUAAAACAAGCACCGAAGCAAUGACAUCCAAAGUUUGACCCAACCAUGUUGGCAGAUGGAUUCAAGAUAAAUGUGACAAAUGUGUAUAUAUUAAAGAUACACCAAAUCACCAAGUCAUUGCUUGUUUAAAUGUGGAUGAUAUGAUGAACAUCAGCAGAGACAUUUGUGACAUAAAUGCAACCAAACGAAUGCUCGAGAGCAAGUUUGAUAUGAAAGACCUUGGAGUUGCAGAUGAGAUCUUAGGUAUAAGAAUCCAUCGAACUCCACAAGGGUUAGCAUUGUCACAGUCUAAUUAUAUCGAAAAAGUACUUGACAAGUUCAAGCAUAUAGAAUUCGGUAUUGCCAAGACUCCAUUGAAUGUGAACUUUGCUCUUCGAAAGAAUGAAGGUGUAAGUGACUCACAAUUGGAGUACGCAAGAUUAUUGGGAUGUUUAAUGUAUAUAAUGAACUAUACACGACCAGUCAUAGCAUAUACAAUUAGUAAAUUGAGUCGGUACACGAGUAAUCCCAACAAAACUCAUUGGAUGGUAAUGAAAAGAGUUUUGGGGUAUCUUAAAUACAUUCAAAACGAUACUUUACAUUAUAAUAAAUAUCCUGCGGUACUUAAAGGAUAUAGUGAUGCAAAUUGGAUCACCGGAUUGAAUGAAGUAAAAUCCACAAGUGGAUAUGUAUUUACUAUCUGUGGUGGAGCAGUUUCUUAGAAAUCAUCUAAACAAACUUGUAUCGCUCGCUCUACAAUGAAAUUUGAAUUUAUCGCAUUAGAUAAAGCCGGUGAAGAAGCAGAAUGGAUCUGGAAUAUCUCGGAAGAUAUUCUGUAUUGGCCCAAGACAGUGGCACUGGUAUGUAUACACUGUGAUAGCCAAGCGGCAAUAGGUAGGGUAGGGAGCAUGAUGUACAACAGUAAUUCUCGUCACAUAUGACGGAGACAUAAUACCAUUAGGGAACUUCUCUCUAGUGGAAUUAUCACUAUUCACUAUGUAAACUCAAAGGAUAAUGUGUUGGAUCCACUUACAAAAGUACGAUAUCAAUUCUCAGAAUAUUUUUUUCAAAAAUUGGUAAAAUUCAAAAUACGAUAUCAAUUUUUAAACUCCAUGACUGUUACGCAAUUUUGUUAUACAAUUUUUCAGAAUUUUUUGCAAUUAUAUUUUUUGAAAAUAACAAAUCAAAUCUAGUUUGUUUAUCGUUUCCAGAAAUUUUCGCAAUUGAAUAAACAUGAUCUUAAAGUUUGUUUAUCCAUACCUGUAAUUGUCGCGUUGUUUAUUCAAUUGUUCUUCGUAAAAUACAGACAUUCAUCAACGAUAUUUCAAUCACUCAUUUUUUUUUUUGAAUAUGCUUUUAAAAUUUAAAAUUUAAAAUUUAUCAUAUAAGAAUUGUAACUUAUGUUGCUAUAAAUACAUAACGACAAAUAAAACUGUGAAUUGAUCAAAAAAAAUAUCGCUGACAAAAUUUUAAACCAGAAAAUUCAAAAUUCGCUACAAAAAAUUGAACUUUAUGAAUGUUGAGCAAACUUGUUAUUACAUUUCUACAAAUUUUUGCAAUUAAAAAAAAAAAAAGCAAUCUCAAUAUUUGUUUAUCCAUACCUGUAAAUGACGUGAAUUUUUUUUUUUGCAAUUAUAUUUCAUCAAUUUAAAAAAUUUUGCCCAAUGAUAUUGGAAUCACCCAAUUUUUUUUUUUGAAUUUGAUUUUGAGUUGUUGUUUAUGGAAAAGGUUUUUUGAAUUAAGUUGAUGUAUUUUAAUGGAUAAGGUAAAAUUAAAAAAGUCAUAAAAGGUGGCUACAAAUAAGGAACAAUUUCAUUCCUUAUUUAACUCUAACUGAUUAGAGUUAAAUAAGGAACGGAUACCCUAUUUGUAUGUGUAUUUUUAUAGCAACUUUUUACUGAAAUACAAAAUACAUAUUGCUAUUUUUCGUAAUUUUAAAACUGUUUCUACAAAAGUUAUAAUUAAGGCUCUAUAGUUGCUAUUUCUAAAAUUUUCCCAUUAUGUAUUUUAGGGGGUUAUUUAAAAGAUAACCUCAAUUAGAUUUAGGGAUUAGUUUAACCAUUUGAAUUUAUUUUCAAGAUAUGCCUCAGUUAAAAUCCAAUAUUCCAUAAAGUAAAUAUUUAAGUAACAAAAUUAUGCGAUUUCACAUAUACGAAUACGAAUAUGUAUGAUCGUUACUUAAAAUAGCAAAAAUUACCUAGAUAAAUACUUUAGAAAAAUUUUUAUCCGAAUAAAAUAAAUAUUUUAAUUUAUUAAAAUUGAAGAAACUCAGAAUUAAACUUUUUCGUGGAGGGCAAAAAUUAGGUGUUAACAACUGACCCUUCCCUUUGGCUAGGGUAGAUAUAAGUAACUCUGGGCAAAGUGAGUUUGACGUUUCUAAUCUUUGUUCGACCCCAAAUUCAUUUCUGAAAGUGGUUGGUUUUCACACGAGUUUCAUGAAGUUAUAGUCGGACCUCAGUAUCAGUUUUUCUACAUAUCUCAGGUUAUAUGAGAACCCAGGCCACUUGUAGUUCAUAAAGCUUAAUUUUUAAGCACGAUCUUCAAGAAAUUCACAAGCUAUCCUGAUUUCCAAAUUUUGGUGAGAUUGGAAAGCUGGAAAAUAAGCGGAUUAGGGGAGGUUGGAAUAUAGUCGAGCUUUAGAGAAAGAGCCUAGCUACAUAUCCCUAAGACUCAGGGAAUCAGAGUGCCUGUAGUUCGUCUCGAUCGGUGGAAAAGAUAGUCUUUUAUGCUAGACGAUCUUUGGCUCAGAAUGAGUGACAAGUUGAUUGAGUUACGGAAAAGAGGCUUGUAACCUCUUAACUAUAAAUGUGGGAUCCUUCACAUCCAUAGGCAAGAACUUACUUGGACAUAAUUUCCAAAACUCUUAAGUAUGUUUUUACUCGAAUUUGAAGGAAAGAGAUGGUUACCUCCGAUAUGAGUUUACAAAUAUUUCAAAAGUGAAACUGAGACCAAAACCCAAAAACACCCACAUGCCUUCUGAUAGGGAUGUGGUUUGAUAAUGGUGGCGAUCAUCCUUUAGCUCGUGUCCAAAGAGUUUGGCAUCCCUCUCUGGACUACAUCCCGAUUCGUUGCUAAGAAAAAGUUUCACGUUGUGUUGCGUUCUUUUGGAGUCAUCCACACUUGUGGUUUUGAUUUGAGAUUUUCAUCCUCUGAAUGCUCUCAAAAAUAUCUCUCAAACAAAUAUUGUUAGUAAUAAACAUAAUUCACAAAGGGGCAUAUAGUAUUUUAGCCUAUCUCUGGGUGAGUUGUUUAUUUGAAAAGUAAAGUUAUCCUCCCGUGUACCUGUUUGGAGGGCAAUAAUUUGCAAUAAUAGACACCACAACCCUCUUGGUUGUUGAAUGAAAUAUUUUUUUUGUCAAUUGAAUGUGUCUUUAAAGUGGGGUGGCUCUCUGGGACAUCGACGAUACUGUGUAGAACAGUCCCUACAACCGUUUAAUCUUACGUUGAUGUGGAAAUCAUUUUGAUCACCUAUAACGCUUCUUGUGUGUGGAAUGAUAACCUUUUUGGCUAUUAACAAUGGAUUUUUGCAUGUGACUUCGGGUAAGUCUUACGCAUCUUUUGUAUCGAUACGACUUAUAAAUUUUCCUUGAAUUAUUAUUUUUUGGAUAAUCUUGCGCAUUAUUUGAUGAUGGAUAUAAGGCGAAUUAUAGAUAUCCUUUGAGUUGUGAGCUUUUGGGUAAUCCUAAACAUCAUCCGACCUUGGAUAAGAGAUGACUUAUAGACAUCCCUCGAAUCUCUAGCUCUCAGGUAUUCGUGCACAUCAUCCGGCCUUGGAUAUAAUAUGACUUAUAGAUAUCUCUCAAAUUGGUAUUCAUUAGGUAAUUUUGCGCAUAAUCGAUCUUGGAUAUGGUGCAGCUUAUAGAGAACCCUUGAACCUAUCAAUUUUGAUAAUCUUAUAUAUUUUCUAAUAAGAAUUUAGUUGUGACUUAUGGAUAGCCUUCAAACUUUUGACUUUCGAGUAACCUUGCACACUAUCUGGUUAGGAUGUUGUUGUAGCUUACGGAUGACGCAUGGACUAUCAUCUUAUGGAUAACCUUACAAAUUAUCCUAUCUCAAAUAAUCUGACCUAUAGAUGAUCCUCGGAUUGUCAAGUCUCAAAAAAUUUGGUACGUCGUAUGUUUUCGGAUACCGACUUAUAGGCAUCCUUUUGGCCAUAUAUUUCUUGAGAACCAAUAGUGAAUGCAAUUAAAUCUUUGGUGAUUGAUGCACUUGAAGCUGAUGAAUAUAUCUCAAUGCCAGACUACUUUUUCUUUGCGUAAUUUGAUUAGAUAUGGAUGCUUAGAAUAUCCUUCAAUGCCAGACUCUUUUGUCUUUGCAUGAUUAUCCGAUAUAUAUGAAAAUGCUUCAGAAUAUCCUUCAACAAUAGACUCUUUAUCCUUUGUGUUAUUUACGGAUAUAAAAGACUUUGAAUCAAUCAUGGGCAUCAACUACAAUAUGGAGAUGCCCUUGGAUUGUUGUUUCUUCAAAACUAUUCAGAGAAGGCAAUAUGAUUUUUAGGACACGACCCUUACGGCAUGGUUCUCUUGGAAUAGACCUUUCGACAUGGCCCUCAUGGCAUGUCCCUUUUGGCAUGACCCUCUCGGUAUAACCCUUUUAGCAUGGCCCUCUCGGCAUGGCCCUUUUGGCAUGGUCCUCUCGGCAAUGAAAUGAAAUGGCCCUCUUGUCAAUGAAAUAAAUAGUUUCACCUUAGUCCCUUUGUUUGUGCUUUUCUUUCUACCUGUACCAUUUACUUUUCCUCAUGGAGAAUUUAAGGAUGAUUUUUUUUUAUCUUCCUCCUAUUUGAGUGAUCCUUUUGUCUGUUGUAUUUAUUGUGUCGACUCCUUUGAAUGCACUUGCGCUUAAAGUAAGUAUUUAGUAGACACAAAGCCACUUUUUCUAGCGACUUUUUCAAUAAAUAAAUAAAUAAAAUAUUUGUAAAUAGGAUAAGGCGCCUUUGUUCAUCAUUCAUGAUUUCUUGAAAUGAGAUAGACAAUUCAAAGGGUCCUCAAUAAAUGGGUAUUGAACUCGUCUUUGGGGUUACUCAAAAAUAUCAUUCUUGAGCAUUAUAUGCUUUGGUGUGGUUAGGGGUGUACAGACCAAACCGUCAAGUCAAACCAAACCGAAGAACCAAACCAAUCUAAGAAAAAAAACUGACUUAUGGUUUGGUUUGGUUGGUUUGGCGUUUGAAAAAAAACCGGUCAUUCUUAGUUUGAUUUGGUGUUAACAUAAAAAAAGUCAAACCGAACCCAAAUCAAACAGACAUAAUAUAUAUAUAGAUAUGUGUGUGUGUGCGUGCACGCAUCUAUAUCUAUAUCUAUAAUCUAUAAUCUAUAUCUAUAGUAUAUUAAAAGUGUGAAGGCCCUUAGAAAAGUGAUUUGAACUUUUUGCCCUUCAUUAAAACACUUUACAAUAGACAAAAUCAUCUUUUCACUUUUUUUCUCCAAUUAUUAUUUAAUUAUAUAGAUAAUUUUGAAUCCUAGAAUAUAUAGGUUAGGAUUUUAAAAUAUGGUAAUGGAUUAGGACUUUAAAUUAUGGUAAGUUUCUUUUCUUAAAUUAGGAAAAUAUGGUAAGUUUCUUUUCUUAAAUUAGGACUAGGUUUAAUUUUCAACAUAUUUUUAUAUUAAUAUAUAUUGUCCCAUCCCACGCUUGUAUUUUGUGUUUUCUUCAACCAUUGUAAUUGUCAUCCGCUAGAUUAGUAUGUUAUUCUCUCUCUCUGUCUCUCUUUUGAGUUGUUUUUCCUUUUCUAUUGGUUGUCGUGACUUAUUAUUUUUUCUUUAGCUUAGAGAGUGAUUUUAGGUUUAACACACCAUGCAUUAUUACAUCUGUUUUGUUCGUGAAUUUUGAUUUCUAGAUUUGAUAUUCUCGUAUAUUCGAAUCUAACAAUGUAAUUAUUUUUCUCAUAUAUAUAUGUGCUUAUGAUAAAAUAUCUGUUUUAGACUUUUUGUACUUUAUUAAAAACCUCGUGAUAGAUAAAAUCGUUUAAUUUUAAAUAAUCAAAAGCUACACGUGCGAGGCACGUGCAACUAAACUAGUAUAUGUGUGUGUGUGUGUGUAUAUAUAUAUAUGCAUGUAUAUAAUUUAACUUUUUAUACACAAAAUAUUAAUUAUAAUCUACUUUUUAAAUACUUUUCAAUUAGUUUUAUUAAUUUUCAAUAAUUAGAAAGUAAUAUAUAUAUAUUUGUAAUAUUUGUCCAUUAAUUGUUACCAAAAUGAUCCAAAAUCCAAUAUAAACUUAAAACCUAAACUUUUUACUCUUCAUCUUAUUUUUUAGUUUCAAGAGAGUUUUUCGCUCCUCAAUUUUUCAUAAUUGUGGUUUUUCAUUAGCUCAUGAGUGAAAACAUACUUGAUCUAAACUUCAAUCAUAAUAUAAUUUUCAAAAAUAGAUAUUAUAAAAAAAAUCGAGAAAAAUAAAAAAAAACGAAAGAACCAACUAAAACCUAAACCGAAAAAUCCAAUUUUAUGUUGGUUUGAUUUGGUUUAUAAUUUUAAUAAACCGACAUAAUUGGUUUGAUUUUUUUUCAAUAGAAAACCAAACCAACCCGACCUAUGUAUACCCCUAGGUGUGGUGCCCAAUUCGCUUGGGGAUGUUGGAAAAAUGAAUCCUAUUUUUUAGUAUUGAUCCUUGCAUCCACAGAAAAAUGGUUAGUUUUGAAUGAAACUACUCCGUAUUGACCUCCUUUGAUUUUUGGUUUGCUCCUCGCCAUCUUUCGGGUGCUUCGUCAUGUUUGGACUUCCACCCUGACUCUCCGUUCCAAUAGAUGCUUAGGAAAUCACUAAGUAAAAGAUAUGCAUAGAUUUCCAAAGAUAGUCUUGAUUUUAAAAAACUAGUUUCAAAAACUUAUGUAAGAGCUUUUAGAAAAUCUCUAUCGGUUAUGUCAUGUACUAUCUCAAUGAACGUCUUCCUCUUGAGGCUCGCAUAUGCCUCACAUUCAAAUGAAGUACGUCCUAAAAACUCAUCAUCGUUGCUGGAUAUUUAUACUAAAAGCUCUAUCAUAGUUGUAGAUUUAGUCUAUCUAGACUUUGCCAUAGCUAGAGGUUUCUAAAGCUUGACUUUGGCCUCCUAAUGUUGGGGAAUUUGAAAUAUAUUCCAAUAUAUUAAAAAAAAAUUGAGGACCUCCUCAAAAUUUCUUCCCAGUAUAAUAUUGUUUAAGAUAAUCUCAGCCUGAGGGGAUCUCGAGACUUUCUCCCAAAGUCUUAGUUGGUCUUCAUUUUCUUUGGAUGAUCUUUUUCUUUUGAGUUUUCGAAAUUCCAUCUCAAAAAUUCUAGCCCAGUUUUCAUUUCCUGAGGUAGUAUGACCAAGCCAUUGGGGAGCCUAUGUAUCCCGUUGACGCAGAAAUAAGGUCAAACGUAGUUCAGGACUACACUAGGGGUACAUAGAAAAAUCUAAUGGGUUGACCGAAGUUGAUAUAGGUCGCCUACGUAUCCCUUUCUUAGGAAUUCAGGUCAUCACGUAGUUCAUACAUAAAACCAUCUUUAAGGUUAACCGACCCUAGAUACUCUUAUCCACUUCACUAGGAUAGAAUUAAAGCUUCUAUGGCUAGCACUUUAUGGAUGAUAUGACGUUUUCAUUGCGUUUGUUUCGAUGGAAUGAAGGAUCAACCUUCUACUUUUCUUUGAGAAAUGAUAAGAUUUCUUCCUCCUUUUUUUUCUAGAUAGUCAUCGACCCUAAUUCGCUUAACUUAAUCAUUGUCCCUUAGAUUAACCAGCUCGGUUUCUUCUAGGUUAGGCUUUCUUGAUUUCCAACUUUGCCUUGUAUGUUGAAUGUUCUAGGACCAUUACCUCCCAUUUGUUAUUAACUUCCUUGAUUUUGUUCAUUUCUCUCUUGACAUGACACGACAUUAAUAGGUUUUAGAUGCUUACUACAUUUAUCAAAAACUAAAUAAGUUUUAUAAUAUCAAGUAGAUAACAAAAAAAUCGUAAAGAUUUUUGUAAUAGGGGAGGCUUGUGUUAAGUUUUGAGAAAAUAUUUACAAACUCUAGCAAUGACCCGCCCGAGUGUGAGUCUAUGCCUUUGAAAAGCAUAAAGGGAAAAAGAGAGGUAAAUAAUCUCAAAGGGUGGAUAUCGACCAUAUCCGUACUACCACCGACUUUAUGAAAAAAUAAAUUACAUUUUUCAUCUAUCAUAUUGACCGAGAAGUAAUAAGUGGAGUGGAAGUCUAGUUCAGCAACGUUUGCUCCAAUUCAUCUUCUUUGAUUCCGGCUAUCUUGAAAAUAUCUUCUAUGUGAGUAUCUCUCUCUUCCCUAUUCCAUCAUUGAGACCAUUGCUUAUAUAUAGGUAUUAAAAAUGACGGGUAGAAUUCAAUUUUACUACUAGUCAUUUUUUCUUUCCUAUGACAAAGCUAUGGUCAUGAGAGGAAUCUAUGUUUACUUUGACCUUGUGAAGUAGGGAUAUUUUGCCUUCUUAUGCAACCACGGAGUAGUUUCUAUUACCUGUAAAGUAAAAAUAACUCAGAGACUGACGUGUUAGAUUCUGAUGUUAAUAAACAAUGCAAGAUGAUAAGGCAGGAUGUAAACAAAUAAAAAAAAAUUUCUCCUCUCAGGUAAAUUAAUCCAUUGUAUAACGAUGACUCGGGAAUGACGGAGAAUAGGAUUUUGCUCACUAAUAUGGAUAUGUGGAAUUUAUCAGAAAGAUUCAACUCUUCUUCUUUUCGACCUUAUUUCUUCUUUCACAAAAGUGGAGAAUGACAUAUUUUUUUAAUAUAGGGGUCAGGCCGAAGGCUGCCUAUGUAUUCCAUGAAGGAGAAAUCCUUCCCUACGUAAUUCAAAAUAUUGUGGAAAGGAUUGCUUUCAUUUUAUUUUAUCCACUAAACCUCAUUACAUAAGGGAAAAGUAAAUACAAGUAACAUAAAGUUUGCUACAUUUGAAACUUAAUUCUGUAUAGUGGAAAGUUCUUUGAUUUCUUCUAGCUUUCUCCUGAUUCAUGGAUGGUCUGGGACGAACUCUAAUUGAAUCUUUUCACUUCUAAUUAAGUGCUCCAAAUCAAUGCGGAAUGCAUGACACUUUUCAAUUGUAUGACCUUUGGUUCCAUUAUGAUAAGGACAGAUCUCAUCGUCCUCUAUCCAUUUGGCAGACCCUUUCCUUUCCUUUCUCUUGACUGGAUGAAGGAAUUUUGCUUGGACAAACUUGGAGUAAAUGUCAUCCUAGCUAUCAUCAAAAAUCCGUAAAGCAUAAUGAAUUGCGGGAUCACUAGUAAUGUACACUCCUCGUGCAAUCCUAUCACAUUCCAACAUGGUGUGAGGCCCAUACAAGUGAGAAAUUUUACCGUUGUGAAUCAUAUCACGUAUUUUGAAUUUCAAUAUACGACAUCCAUCUAUGGUAUGACCUUUUUGAAGCAAACGGUAAGCACAUUCUCUGUGCUAAUUCAUGGGGUUACAUGGUGGACUUAAAGAUCCCAUAGCCUACAGUAUUUGAUAAAUCUCUCAAAUUUUCACAACUUCUGGCUCUCUCAUAUAGUUCCCUGCACUCACUUUGAGUGUGAUUUGUUCGUUUCCUUAAAGACAAGAAUGUUUUUCUGCGUCUUUCGACUAUUUCUUCAUUUCACUCAUGAGUUCUUCGAGGGUCAUUGAUACUUAUUUUUUGCAUGAGGUUGUCAUCUUUUGAUUUUUUACCUUCAUUUCUUCCUAUCAUAUUUUCAAUCAUCCCGAUAAUUAUUUCAAAUUCCAUGGCCAAUUGUUUGAUCUCUUUAGCAAAUUCUCUUUUUGAUAUUUACUAUUUCAAAUUCCAUGGCCAAUUGUUUGAUCUCUUUAGCAAAGUCUCUUUUUGAUAUUUACUUUCAUUUUUUCAACAUCUGGUCGAACAUAGUGAUCUUUGCUUUGGUUAGGGUGAUUUGUUCCUCCAAUUUUCUACUUUUUGCCAUGGAAAUAUCCUCUUCUUAUUCAAUAGAUUGAUUGACUUAGCUAGUCUUUAGUUUGGCCACAACAAUCUUCAUAGGCAUUUUCUCAAUUUCCGCCUUUAGUGUAUCAUCUUUUGGUCUAACUCCUCCAAUCGCCUUCUGACUUGAGCAAUUCUCCUAUUGCUCUUUUCAGUCCUUCCUACAAUGACUUCUUUUCCAAAUCCAUAAUCAACCUUUUUGAAAUUAUAGCAAUAACUUUACGAAUUUCUAAGAAUGAUUGCAGAUUUUCUGGGAGAAUUGGAAGACUUGGAGCAUGAUUGGUUGAACUUUUGUACAGUGGGUGUAUAUUUCUGCUUAAAGGUGCUUAAUGUAAAAUGGGAUUGGAUCAAUUUGUAUUUGAUUUGAAUAUACAUAACAUGCAUAAGCACAUAAGGCAGUUAUAUCACACGAACAUAUAAAUAAACGCGUAUCCUAAUUUAGGACCCUUUUGAGUCAAGGGUUCACCUAUCGGGUUUGAAGAAGGUAUGUCUUUUAACACUAAUCCAUUAUCCCCAAAAAUUAUUUUCACCAAUAUCCAAAAAGGCAUAAAUGCCUACGAGAAAACGAGGGGUACAAUUAUUGAGGAAACAAAAAUAAAAAUGUAAGAAAAACAAUCCCGGGAAAAGGAUAAAAAUAAAAACACGCAUACAUGUAUAUAAAAUAGCAAAUAAAGGAUACUAUUUUUGGGGAAGGAAAAAUAACAUGAGAAUAAAACAAUACCGCACAAGGGAUAGAACAGAAAACACUAGUCAGCAGACGAUCCUUCAUAAGUUUUUGCCUUUUUGGCUUCAUCCAUCUCGUGUCAUAUACGGUAUUUGUCUAUGAUUUCAUAGAUUUUGUACUUCUAUACUUUCACCAAUCUUUUAAAGUAAUCAUCUGGCUUGAAUAUUAUCUUGAAUCUUCUUACGAAAAUUGUUUGACCGAUACCUACACAAAGAAAACAAGGUGAUCCUUCUCCUCGCUCCCAAUAAUAAUAGAUUUAUAUUAAUUAGCAUAAACUUCCUUCAUCAUGUAAGUAUGAUUUGUCUGUAAUUGACUCGUGGUCAAUAGAUGCAGGAUAGGUUUUCUAAUAGGCCCAAUACCCUCCGGGUAUUAGGUCAUCCAAGGCUCAUGCCUAAAAAGAAGAAUUUGGGUUUCGCUCUAUCCUUGGUGUCUAGAGUGGGUUUGGACCAAGUUCCCAAGCGGACGACUUGGGUUUCAAAAUACGAACAGCCAUCGGACACCUAAUGUGUCAAUAAACCAUCGUAAUACUUUAUUUGAAAAUGAACAAUAGAGGCCGAGGCAUCCACGAAACUCUAAAUAAUUUAUUUAUCAACUGAGGGAGUGUAUGCCAUAAAUGCAAACAAUAGAUAUAAUCACCAGAUAAUAUCAAACAACCACAUUUAAUAAAGUAAAGUCAAAUAAUCAGUCAACACAGUCUAAAAUUUGGUUAGAAUCUUAACUAAAUCUCCCGCAGAGUCGCCAUUUCUAUUUUAUCUCAUUUUGGCUCGAAGGGUUGAAAAACAUUUAAUUUUCAAAACAAUUUAAGAAAAUUACAGAGUCGUCACUUGAGUUUUGAAAAAAUAUCAAAAAAAAACAAAAAUAUUUUUAGGACUUGAAAACAGAAACAAAUCUUUAAAAUCAGAAAACAAGGGUAAGAAUUUAGGUAACGCUUUGAGAAGGUUUUUAAGGCACUCAAGAGUAUCCGUUAAAAAUAAUUGACCAAAAGAUAAUUUUCAUUAAUUUGACUAGUUUUGAAAAAUGUGGCUAAUUUUAUAAAAUCUUGAAUUUGUUUGCAAGUAUGACAUUAAUCUCAUUUGAGUGAAAAAUUAUUUAUUUGCAUUGAAGAAAACUUUGCUCAAAAGAGAAGGUUAACUAAGUCCAAUUAUUUUAACUAUUUAGGGAACACAAAUUAUUUUUAAUUUAAAAAAAAAUAGAAAAUUUGACGAAUUAUAAUAAAGGGUUUCAAUUUCUUAUGAGGAAAAUCUAUUUUUUUAAUAUUGAAGCGAAUUCUCUUUAACUUAAAUAAACUAAGUUAACACAUUAAUAAAAUAAAAUGCCACUUUGAUUUCUAAAACGCUUGAUCUUAAAGAAAACAUAAAGAGACUAAUUUUAUUAAUUCAAGAAUUUAGACUACGUGACGAAUUACAAAGAAAGAAAAAUAUAAAAAUAAAAUAGAAAUGACAAUUCAAAAGGAAAUUUAAUUUGAUUCAACCAAAUUAAAGAGUUUGUUACAAACAAGUAAUCAAAUAUGAAUAUAUAAAUAACUAAAAAUUACACAAAGACAUAACUUAUGUUUCCAAUAUUACAAAAAAUCUCAACUCCUUAAACAUAUUACAAAAAUUCCAACAUAUACACAGAAUGCUAGGUAUAUGCCAGCUAUGUUAUGUAUAUUAAUAAGGAGAGAGAGUAAAGUAAUUAAAAAAGUGAGAGAGUGUAAGUACAUCCAAAAGGGUUGGUAUUUAUGUUAUUUAUACUAUAAAUAAACUAAAGAAGAGAAGUUAUGUUUUGGACCUCAGAUUAGGCCCAUUAGCAUUUGCGCAGCUUUUUGGGCAUUAUUUUUUUUUUUGGAAAAAUUACAGAAACUAGCAUCCUUAAAACUAUAAUUAUAAUAAAUAGUAAUACUUUUUCAAAAUUACAACUUAUAGCAAAAGUAACAAUAUUUUACCCACUUCAUAGUAAUAGAAGAAUAUGUAUUUUUCAGUUGUGCAUAUGUAUUUAUGAGUAAUACAUAUAUAUUUAUAUAUGUAUUUAUAUAGCAACAUUUUACUUAAAUACAAAUAAAAUUUGCUAUUUUUCGUAAUUAUGAAACUGUUGCUAUAAAAGUUAUAAUUAAGGCUACAGAGUUGCUAUUUCUGAAAUUUUCCCUUAUUUUUUUUUGUGGAUUUUCAGCCUUUCAGUGGUGUAUAUCAACAGUAUGCAGAUUGUAUACCAGCCCUCUUUUUGCUGCGUUUUUAGCAUAUUUCAGCAUAUAUCAGCUGGUUUCUUCUUUGAAUUUCUAUAUAUUUUCUGUAAGACCUGUAAUAUUGCCCUCCAAAUCCAAAUCACUUGUAUAUUACUGUAUACUCAAUGUGUACUGGUAAAUACCAGCCACGUUCUCUUUCAAAUCAAUCCACUCUGGACUUAUUUAGACAUGAGAGGGUAGUGGUUCGACUCCGAAAAUGCAGGAAAGAGAGUCCCAUGUACUCUGGCGGCUCAUGCAUUACAAAGAAGAGAUAAAAGAUUGAGUAAAUACAUAAUUACCCCUGAUGUUGGUCGAGAUUUUUAAAAAUACACCUAAACUUUGAAUUCGACCUAUUACCCCAUGAUUCUUUCUUAAUCCGUUGCAAAUACACCAUUUUUCGCUGAACCUCAGUCACAACAAAGAGAGUGAGAACACGCACCAAUGAAGUGCUGACACGUGUUAAAUAUAUUUAAUUUUAUAUUUUAUUUAUUUUUUAAUAAAUUUUUCUUUUUUAUUUAAUUUAUUACCUCACCCCACCCCUUCUUCCCCCACCCCAACCCAUCCAGCAACUUCCCCCCUCCUUCCGCAUCUAGCAGUACCCCUAUAUUUCAAGGUAUACAUUUCAUCUGAGUUUGACCAAGAUAUAUUAUAAUUUGAAGAAGAUUUAUUGGUAGAACAACAUGAAAAGGAAUAUGGAUAACUUUGUGACUAAGUGUAUGGUCUGUUAGGAAGUGAAGAUAGAAUACUUGAGGCCCAGUGGAAUGUCUCAAGAGAUAGAGUUACAUGUGUGGAAGUGGGAGAUGAUCAAUCUGAAUUUCAUUAUGGGUCUUUCGCAUUCUCAUAAUUAGUUUGAUUUGAUUUGGGUCAUUAUGGAUAGGAUGACUAAGUCUGCUCACUUUUUGUUAGUGAGCACUACCUACUCUAGAAAGGAUUAUUCUAAGAUAUUCAUUAAGGAGAUAGUUAGAUUGCAUGGUGCUCCUGUUUCCAUUAUUUUAGAUUAAGGUACACAAUUUUCUUCUCACUUUUGGUGUUUACUUUAGAAAGGUUUGGGGACUAAGGUAAACCUUUGUACAUCUUUCCACCCUCAAAUAGAUGGACAAGUGGAACGGACUAUUCAGACCUUGGAGGAUAUGUUAAGGGCUUGUGUGAUUGACUUUAAGGAAAGUUGGGUGGAUCACUUCCCCCUUAUUGAGUUUGCACAUAACAAUUGUUAUCACUAGCAUUGGAAUGACUCCUUUGAGGCUCUUUAUGAUAGGCAGUGUAGGUCUUCCAUUGACGGUUCAAGGUUGGUGAGACUAGGCUAUUUGGUCCUGACUUGGUUCAUCAGGCUAUGGAGAAGGUGAAGGUGAUUAGAGAAAGACUUAAAACCACUCUGAGUCACCAAAUGUCUUAUGCAGAUAUGAAGCGACGGGAGUUAGAGUUUGAUGUAGGUGGUUGGUUAUUCUUGAAAGUUUCUCCUAUGAAGGGAGUGAUGCGAUUUGGGAAGAAAGAGGAGCUUAGUCCCCGAUAUGUGGGUCCACAUUACAUUUUGAGGAGAGUAGGGAAUGUUGCUUAUGAAUUAGAGUUACUUGCGAGUUUGGGUUCUAUUCAUCUGAUUUUCCAUGUGUUAAUAUUAACGAAAUGUGCGGGUGAUCCUUCUUUGAUUGUGCCUCUUGCAAAAGUUGGUAUUUCGGAUUUCUUGUCCUAUGAGAAAGUCCUGGCUGAGAUUUUUGGAUAGGCAAGUCCGUAGAUUAAGGACUAAGGAUGUGGAUUUAAACUAAGGAUGUGGCUUCGGUAAAAGUCCUUUAGAGGAAUCAAAAGGUACAAGAAGCUAUGUGGGAGAGGACAUAAAGUCCAAAUAUUCGUUCUUGUUCCCCGCAUUGGAUAGAAGUGUUUGAGGUAUAGGUUCUCUUUUUAUUUUGUCGCUUUUAGCAUUUGUGCAUGGUUUCGUGGUUGCAUUAUAGCUUGUAUUCGUGUUAAUGAGUGCCUUAACUCCUUAUUUGGGGACGAAUGAUCUUAGGGGAGGGGGUAAUAUAAUACCCUGAGUUUUGGGCUCUAAAAAUUUUAUGUGUGUUGAGCUCACUGUCCAGGCAACAACUAAGACCCUAUGAGUUAUAGUCACUCUAUACGAGGUGUGCAGCGCCUACUGUAGUCUAACCAGUGAAGAAUACCUAUACUUCUGUCUUGAGUAUAACUAGGACCCCGCGAGUUAUAAGGCCUGGGCAUGAGUCGUAGGGUGGGACUUGUGACCAAACCAGUGAGGUGGCACUAAGUCACUGUCCAGAUUACGAGUUGUGGUGACAACUCAUGACCAGUGAUCAUGAGUCGUUACGAGACCCGUAGCGAUUGGGAUUUAAAAUUUCAACACGAUUUCAUUAAAGGAAUAAUGGCCUUUUCCUAUUACCCCACUACUAUUCCACGACAUAAAAUAUUCUUUUAGCCAUGUUUUCACCUAUUAAACAUAACAUAAACAGUCUUUUCUCUCUCAAAUUCCCCAAUCAAGAGUAGGGCUAGGGUUUUUAGGGAUUUAAAAUUUAGGGCUCACUUUGUGGUUUCUCUUCCAAAUUCAUUGGUGUUUCAGGCAUGUAUCUCUUACCUAACUUGGUUUUAUAUAAAAUUAUAUGUUUAAUCAUGGUUUAUAUGGGUUAAAUUAUAGGUUUUGAAUUGUGGGUUGAGGGUUUUGUAUGAUUACUACUUGGUUGGUUUUCCCUGGGUUUGAAACUAUUAUUCAUGCUCUACCUCAUAGUAUUUGAAUAAAAUUUGUGCAUGGGUAUAGUGGAUUAGAAGGGGUAGUGUCAUUCCCCCAAAUUGAUGAUUUUGAUAAUGAAAUUGGUAUUAAUCUCAACCUACUUUGUACAUUUGGUUUGGAACAUGGAAAUAUGCAUGAUUUAACUCAUCUUUGAACUAUUGCAUUAUCUAAAAGGUUAAUGGAACAUAAAUGAUUUUGUAAAGGCCUUGGUGGCCAUGGUUUAGUUUUAAAUGAUUUUAUUAGGGCCUGGAUGGCCAUGGUAUGGUUUUUAAAUUGGAACUUAUGGUUUUUAAAUUGGAACUUGGGGGGUCGUGGAUUCCCCCAUGUUGAUGGAUAAUUGGAAUGCAUAAUUCUAUAAGCUUGCAAGCGUAUUGGUAUGAUGAUACCAUAUGGUAAAGCCUAAAUGGAGAAUUUCUUGGUUAAAUGAAUGUGUUAUGUGCAAAUAUUUUAAUUAGACUUAAAGGGGAUUGUGUAGCUCGCCGUGGAAGGUGGAGGUCUCGAAGGGACCAAUACUGAAAACCACAUUUAUCGGCGUGAGGGUCUUUAUGACCAUGAGCAUAGUUUACACUUAUUUAUAUACUAAUUUAGGAUACGUGUGUUGCACGUGUAUUUUAUUUUUUCAAUUUAAUGAGAAUUUUGACAUAAAUUUAUAAAGUAAACUUUAUUGAAAAAUCAACCCUCUAAUAAUUUGAUCUGAGAAUCAGUUCGGUUUCAUGCAAAGUCGCUUGACUAAUGAGGCCAUUCACCUUGUGAGGAGAUUAAUAUAGCAAUUUCGGGAGAGGAAAAAGGACUUACAUAUGGUGUUUAUUGAUCUCGAGAGGCUUAUGAUAGAGUUUAGAGGGAGAUUCUGUGGAGAUGCUUGGAGGCUAGAAGGGUGAUUUUGGCAUACAUUAGAAGGGUGAUUUUGGCAUACAUUAGGUCGAUUUUGAUAGGUUUGCAUCAGGGAUCAACUUUUAGCCCUUUUUUAUAUGCCUUGGUAAUGAAUGUGUUAACGCGACAUAUUCAAGGCGGAGUGACUUGGUGUAUGCUAUUUACAAAUAAUGGUAUUGAUUGACGAGACUCGGGGUGGAUUUAAUGAUAAGUUUGAGAUUUAGAGAUAGACCCUCGAGUCUAAAGGUUUCUGGUUGAGCAGGACCAAGACAGAGUACUUGGAGUAUACGUUUAGUGAUGUGUCGCAGUAGAAUGAUGUGGUUGUGAAGCUGGAUUCUCAGUCCAUCCAGAAGAUGGAGAGUUUCAAGUAUUCGGGGUCUAUGAUUCAGGGUGAGGGUGAGACUAACGAGGAUGUGACGCAUCGUAUUAGGGCUGGGUGGUUGAAAUAGAGGCUUGGUUUGAGAGUUUUAUGUGCUAAGAGGGUGCCCCCAAAGCUUAAAGGUAAGUUCAACAGAGUGGUCGUCCGACGAGUUAUGUUGUAUGGAGCAGAGUGUUGCCAAUUAAGAAAUCCCAUGUCCAAAAGUUAAAGGUGGAGUAGAUGAGGAUGUUGCGGUAGGUGCGUAGUCAAACCAGGAAGGAUAAAGAGAGGAAUGUGGCUAUUGGGGAAAAGGUGAGAGUGGCUUCGGUGGAGAAAACGAUACGAGAAGUGAGGUUACGCUGGUUUAGACACGUGAUGAGGAGGGGUGCUGAUGCGCCAGUGCUGAGGUAUGAGACACUGGCUAUUGAUGAUUUUAGGCGGGGGAGAAUUAGGCCAAUAAAAUAUUGGAGGGAGGUGAUUAGACAUGAUAUAGAGUAGUUACAGCUUACGGAGGACAUGACUCUUGAUAGAAAGUUGUGAAGGAGGUGGAUUAGGGUAGAGGAUUAGGGGGUGGGAGGGUGUUGGUGAGAGCAGGGGAGUGUUCUGUAUUUGUGGUUUAAGUUUCUUGUGCGUAGAUGUUGAGUGUUAUCUAUGGUUUCAGAUUUAUAGUUUUAAGUAUUGUCUUGUGGCUAGUGUUGUUAGUUUAUUUUUCAUACUGUACAAGUUUAUAUGCAUUUAUGUGUUGUGUUUGUUAUAUUGUUAUUGAUUCUAAGCCAGGGUCUAUCGGAAACAGCCUCUCUACUUCACCUGAGGUAGUGGUAUGGACUGCGUACACUCUACCCUCCCCAGACCUCACUAGGUGGGAAUAUACUGAGUGUGUUGUUAUUGUUGUUGUUGUUGUAUUGGCUUAUUUCUUGUUUGAUACCAUCACAUUGUUAUCAAAUUGUGUGAGAGACUUGUAACCAAUGAGGAUACUUUAUGCCAUUGGGUCAAUUUGUUACGGUCAUUUUACUUUGCUAACUAAGACUUAGGUUGAGAAAAACUUGUAGCAUCUGAGUCUAUGGAUGUUGAAGGAAUUAUAUAUUGUUUUCAUCAUCAAGAACGAUCAAAACAUCAACAAUUAUAUGAAUGAAUAUCGAGAAGGAAGGUGACAAUUUUUUCUUUGGAAGAGUUUACAUUCCGGUCAUGAGUGACAUACAUCUUUUACACCAUAGUAGACUAUAAAAUAGAUAAUCUUCAUAGUGAACUUGGUAUACUAAACAUGCAAAACACUAACAAUUUGUUUGUCUUGUUCUUUUUUUUUUUAGUCAAUUUAAAAAAGAAUGUCUCUUUUCUUUUUUGACAAUUCUUUAAUUUUAACUUUUCACAUGACAUGUUUAGACCACAAGAUUAAAAUACAUUUUAAUACAUUCUUCAUUUUAGUUUAAGCUCGCAAGGAUUAAAAAACAUUCAUUACUUUUUUGAACUCCAGACUAAGUCAAAUCCAAGCAUACAAAUUAAAACAAAGCGAGUACCUAUGUUAUAUGUCAUACUCAAUUGAGUAUAAUAUGUUACGUAUUAUACUCUAAUUGAUCAAAAUUAUUUGUAAUAAUGCUAUGUCAUCGAAUUUUCUUGGCUUUUUCAUUUAUUUUCUUCUUUACAUGAGUAAAGCGCAUUAGGUUGAUGAAGAGCUACUACUCAUGUGCUUGGCAAUGGUCCGCUGCAGCUCAUCUUUUUUGGCUCCUACCACCUUAUCAAUAAUCUUUCCCUCAUUGAUGAACAUGAAGUUGGCAUUACCUCCACACCCCAAUCAGUGGCUAUUGACUUCAAUUCAUCCACAUCCACUUUAGGGAAGGCAAUUGCGGGUAUCUUCUUGGCCAACUCUGCAAGGAAUGGGGCAAUGAACUUACAGGGAUCACAUCAAGAAGCAGUGAAGUCCACAACUAUUAAUUUUUUGUUAUUAAUGUCUUUUUGGAGAUGGUCGUCUCAUUCAUCAAUAGUGUGGACGGCAAAGACUAUUCCCCCUAUCAUUUUAAUGUUGGAGUGUUAGGUCAACGUCCAAAGCUAAGCUAACAACAAUAAUAUAUAUGUACAAAAAAUUACCCCUAACCAUCUAUUACUAAGGUUGUUUUCGAUAGAUCCUCGACUAUUAUUAUUAUUAUUAUUAUUAUUAUUAUUAUUAUAAUAAUAAUAAUAAUAAUAAUAAUAAUAAUAAUAAUAAUAAUAAUAAUAAUAAUAAUAAUAAUAAUCAAAUCAAAAGAUGAUCUAUAUAAAAUUUACCAAACCUAUAUCCGACCAUGCAAAGAACAAAGAGAAUAUUACGAUUCCAUCUAAACUUUUCGAUGCAGUUCCAUGUAAGGCUAGCUUCUAGAUCUUUAUAUAAGGCUAGGUUUUUGUUUUAAAAUUUUAGGAGUCCUUAACCAUGUACAUCUCUUACCAUAUAAUUUAAAAUAGUUUUUUCACUUCUAAAAGGAAAAAACUACAAUUGGUUAACUUUGUAGUUUUGAUGUUGUUAACCUUAUAUUGGUUAAAAAAAAAAAAAAGUCCUAACACGUAGCAAAUUUGGAAAAUUAAAAAAGUUGUGCUUUUGUAUGUCAAUAAAAAAUUCCAUCAAAUUUUUCUUUUUUCACUUAUUAUUAUAUAAUUAAGGAAACCCUUUUCAAUACGCAAGGAAAAAACCUAUCAAGCAUUAUUUUUUCAUACCUCCUUUACCAUAUAUUUUAUGACUUCUUAAUUAUUAGAAAUUAUAGUGAAUAAUUAAUAAUUUAAGAAAAAAAAGAUGGUUUUUCCUAAAGAGGAGUCUUAUAACGAGGGGUAAAAAGUUCAAAUAACUUUUUUAAGGAUCUUCACACUUUUAAUGUAUUAUAGAUUAUAAAUAUAGAUAUAGGUAUUUUGGAUUGGUUGGGAUCGAGACAUUCCCCGGCCCAUCCUUAGAUUUUUCUAGUUCGUGCGACUAACAUGCACUGGAAUUCUUUCAGUAGGGAGAGUUGAACGCAUAUAGCUCGGGGAUGCCCUUAGGACAUUAGAGCUAUACAGUACAGAUUAAUAAUUUUAAAUCUCAUGCUUAAAACAUGUAUCCUAUCCCGACACCUUAUAUAUAUAUAUAUGUAUGUAUGUAUAUAUAUAUAUAUGUAUGUAUAUAUAUAUAUAUAUAUACACAUAUAUAUAUAUAUGCAUGUAUGUGAACAUGAACAUUGAUAUUGGUUUUGUUUGGAAAAUGGCAUUAUUUUUAUCCCUAUCCUGAGCUACAUGCAAGCACUUACCCCGUUAACCGUUUCUGGACGCUAUAUUCUUUCAUGAUGUAGGCUCCUAGAGGUUUCUUCUGGUGGUUUGUGCAGUGUUAGGUGGAACGGUCGUCUAUCGGGUUUGCGGUGAAGUGGUGAGCUUCCAUCUUUCAGAAAGCUGGGUCAUUCCAUCAGUUUCUUUCCAUAUUUUAGAAUUGAAGAGUUCAGAUUAACAUUAUCAUUGACAUUGUCACUGUCACUGUCGGGGGCAUGUCCCGACCUAGUUUUAUACUCGAAUUGGUUUAAAGGACUUUAUGGACAUGUGUGGGUUGGAUGGUGUUGUUGACCUUAGAACUUAUUCUUGAGUUACAUAAACUGUUUUAUCUUUAUUCUCUGGUUAUCUUCCACUUUGUUGUUAUUUGAAUUUUGCUUGUUUGAACAGGUAAUGGAAAUGGUUUUCGGUCCUCGAUAGGCUUGAGAUACCCAUCACGGUCAGGCCCAGGGUCGGAUCGUGACAGUCGAAACGUGACAGCUGGCUUCUUUCAUAUGAUGACCGGCAAAUGCCGUGAGGAUCCAUUCUUUGGUGGAAGAAUGAUGAUGCACCUGAGUAAUCUUUUGUUUGGUACUUUCACUCACAUGUUGUAAAUCUUGCCUACCAGCUACAUCUGUUUCGUUGAUACUCUAAGGCCUGCUCUCCUUAAUUUCAUCUACUAUAGUCUGUAUCAAUUGUUUUUUAUGGUAUGCUUGAUCCUUGACUAACUGCUGCUUUAACAUAUUUGAAACUAAAAUAAGUUACUUUUUCGCCUUAAAAAGUAAUACAAAAUCUUACUUUCAACACUUUGCAACCAAGAAAUAAAUGACCCUAAUUUUCAAGAGUCUUUGAUGUCUUAAUCCUACAACAAUCUCUGCAGUAGCAAACAACGGGUUCUAUAGAAAACCGUGAUGUUAACACCGGAGACAUGGCUAACACCGGAGACAUGGCUACUCUAUUGACAAUAGGGGUGAGCAUGAUAUGGAAUAUACCGAAUUAUCAUACCGAACCGAAAUUUUUGAUACCGUGGUUUUUGGUAUUAUGGUAUUUGGUAUAAUAUAUGGUAUACAUUUUAAAUUUUUUUGGUAUAUGAUAUUUACAAAUGACAUAUCGAAAUACCGAAUACCAUACCGAAGUAUAUAUAGUUACAUAAGUAACUUUUAUUUAUAUCUAUAAUAUAUUAAAAGUGUGAAGACCUUAAAAAAGUGAUUUAAACUUUUCAGCUUUCAUUAAAAGACUCUUCUCUAGACAAAACUAUCUUUUCACUAUUUUUUUAAAUUUAUUAUUUAAUUAUUUUUUAUUAUAUUAAUUAAACUUCCUAAAAUAUAUGACACUUCUAAAAUAUAUGGUAGGAGAAUUAAUUAAUAUUUUUCUUUCUACUAGAUUUUCUAAUAUAUAUGAGACUCCUAAAAUAUAUGGUAGGAGAAUUAAUUAAUAUUUUACUUUCUACUGUUCAAUUAGAAAAAUAUUCUUAAAAUAGGACUCUAUUAAGGAAAUACUUCUAUAAAAAUAUUGCGAUGUACGUUAAACUAGAGAACAAAUCGGUUUACUUAUUUAGAGAAUAUGAUUGAUGCUCAUUUAACUUGAUUUGAUUGCAUGUCUAGAUUGAUGGAUGCUUGAUUUUUUAACCCUCAACUUCUUCACUAUUUUUGUUAGCAUAAUAGAAUUCAGCAUGUGUAUGUAUAUAUAUANNNNNNNNNNNNNNNNNNUAUAUAUAUAUAUUCUUUGUUUUCAUUCAAAAUCAUUCUUUGAAGUCAAAAUUUUCACUCAGAUAAGAAUUAGUUGGAUCAAAAUCGAAGCUUUGUGAUCACUAUUAUAUAUCUUUUUAUAGUUUACAGGUCGUAGAUAAAUGUCAGUUGACUUUGAAGAAUUUCUUGUGUAAAGGUUAGGUUUAAUUGUAUCUUAUUAUUUUAUUUUAAUUUACAGAUGCUAGAUGAAUAUAAGUCGACUUUGAAAAUUUUUUUAGGUAAAGGUUAGGUUUAAUUAUACUAUCGUAAUAUCUCUAUUAGUUUGUUAUUUUGUGGUAGUUUACAGUUCGUAGAUAAAUCUCGAACGACUUUGAGAAAUUUUUGUGUGUAAAAUUUAAGUUUAAUUAUAUUAUUUUGAUAUCACUUUUAUCGUAUUAUUUUGUUGUAGUUUACAAGUAAUAGAUAAAUGCUGGUCGGCUUUGAGGAAUUUGUUUAUGUAAAUAUUAGGUUUAGUUGUAUUAUUUUGAUAUAUCUAUUAUCGUAUUAUUUUGUUAUUUUUUACAGGUGGUAGAUGAGCGUCGAACGACUUUGAGAAAAUUUCUAUGUGGAAAGAUUAGAUUUAAUUGUAUUAUUUUGAUGUCUCUAUUACUGUAUUGUUUUGUUGCAAUUUACUGAUGGUAGAUGAAUAUCGAACGGCUUUUAAAAAUAUUUUUGAUAAAGAUUAGGUUUAAUAAUUCUUCAUCUUUUAAUUAUUAUAUUCAUCUUCACUAUUUAAACAAAUAUCCUAUUUAAUGUAAUGUUUGAACUCAUUAAAGUGAGGUGCACGCACAAGACGCGUAUUCCUAAACUAAUAUGUAUAUAUAUACACACACUCAAAAAAAAACUUAGUAUUAGUAUAAAAAUAUUUAGACUUUGAAACUUUCGUUACUCUAUCUUGAUUGAAAUGUCUUUUUGGUGUAAUUGACUAAUAAAAGGAAUUAUUUGUACUUCUUUUUCAAUAUUUCUACAUGUGUAAUGCAUUUUUAUGAUACAAUUAAGACAUGCUUUUGAAAUGUUGAAGUAACAAUACUCUAGUAUACAAGCAUAUAUUGUCAAAGUUAAACAAACUAUGGUUACCGAUUACCAUACCGCAAAAUACCGAAACCAAACGUCAAAAUAUCGAACCAUACCGAAUUAAUAUGGUAUGGUAAUUGUAUAAUGUUUUUAAAAAUUAAAUACUAAAAUUACCGUACUGAAGUUUCAAAUACCGUACCAUACUAUUCCAUGCCCACCCCUAAUUGACAAAGUAUAGAGAAAGAGACAAUUUCAAGAUGAACUACGACAAACCUAAAACCUACCCUCACAAAGACUCCUAUAGUGCAUUAAUUUUAUACGCUAUAGGGGUGCCUCUAAACAAGUGAUAUACAAGUGAUAUAGCGGACUGAUUUAGUACGCUAUAUUUACUUUGGUUCAAUUUAGUUUUGUAUAUCAUUUUGAUCACUUUUUAACUGUUAACUGUCAUUUAGGUUCCGGGCUCCAUUAAUACACAAAUAAUUCGCUUCUAUGCCAAUGCUUUUUCUUGUCUUUUGUUUCUGAAACUUUUUUGUCUUUGUUUCUUAUUGAAGGGUAUAUUCUCCUCCAAGAAAAAUACUUUGGUCCUUCGUUUGCAAACUGCAAUGCAACAUUUUGUGAAUUACUUGUCCUUGCAUAGUGGCAAACUUCAUUAUUUUCGACCUAACUCAAUUAGAGGGAUAGAAAGAAUAUUAUCCAUUUAAUAAAUCAAAAGCCAGUAUAUGAAAAUGUGGUUUUUCAUUAAGCACGAACAGAAAAGUGCACUUUACACGCCAGGCACACACAAUCCAAAUGGCCUUCUGGCCCCACUUCUAAGCAAGUGGAACAAAUUGUUGUUUGAUUUCCACUUCAACCAAACAAGCCCUUGCCGUCGAAUUCUUAGCUCGUAUCUUAGUUGACCAAUAGUUGCUCGCCAACUGGAAAUUGUUCCAUUUGGCAACCAAGUUGCACAUUUGGUCGGCUCUGGACUUCUAAUUCGGCUUGCUUAGACGCUGCAGCUUUUCUCCUUCUCUUUGUCGAGCCACUUUCCGAAGCCGACGAUACCGAAGAGCUAGCCGGUUCAGGUAAUCGUCUCAUAACCGUCACUCUAACUAGUUCCGGCUCAUUUAACCCGACUCUAUGCGGGAAAUUCAAUAGAGCCUUGGAGCCGCGCAUCUUAUAAGACGCUUGGUCAUAAGCGAGCGUGGCUUCUUUGGCCGACUCAUAAGUUCCAAGCCAGACUCGUGCACCGUUUUUAGCAGGAUCUCUUAUCUCCGCCGCAAAUUUACCUCACGGCCUUCGUCUCACACCCCUAUAAUGCCUUCCCUUUGGCUGCACGACUGUUGGAGCUGCCUUAAUCUCCACCAGUGGAGCCACCAACUCGGGAACAAUAGAAGGAACAGAACUCAUAGCUGGCUCAAUCUCCUCCUUCGUCUCGGCUUUAACUUUCGCGAACAUUAAAUUUGACGGCGCCCACCCUAUACUUAAGGCAUCUUGUAGAAGCCCGUAAAUUACCAUAUCUUCGGAAUCGUUAACUUUUAACGGCAAUUCACCCUAUAAUUCAGUCAAACAUGGCAUGAGACUACUGAAACUUGAACUCCAACAAUACAUAGUGAAUUCUGGGGGAAGCUAGUUGAAGGUAAGUUGGUAGAAAUUAGUAACUGAUACAUUAUGAUAUUUGAAGGUUUUGUACGAAAGGUAAAGAGAGAAAGAUUUUGAAUUCUUGAAGAGCAAAGGGAUUUGGGGUAUAUAUAGUGAAAUAUAGGAGCAAGAAGGUACAUGUACCACAAAAAAGGGGUCCAUAAAUGUUUUCAAUAUCUAGAAUUAUUUAAUGAAUUGUAUAUUCAUAAUUUCAUGCUGGCAAAAUGAACUUUUGAAUUCCUAUGCUACGUCGGUUUUAUAAGUUGGACACUUCUACUUAGAUGUUUAUUAUCUAAACCCCUGAACCAACUAAAAAUCAACUUUUUAAACCCUUUGUCGGUCUACUCAGCUGUUCGUGUUGCACAAUCGCAGCCACAUCAUUAAUUAUGUGUAAAAUAAUUUUCACGUGUGAAAUGACUUGUGUAGAGUAUAAAUACUAAAUUUUGACCUAAAAUUUAGGUCAUUUGAACCCUUCUUCUUCGCCCUUUCUCUCUCUCAUCCGAAACUCAAAAUUACCAUCAUUUUAGGUUAACUUAGGCCAAUAGUUGUUGAAGGUUCUUGCAAUCCUUGUAAGUAUUUAAUAUUUCGGUGUAGUUGCAGUAUGUGGUAGUUCAUUUUGAAGCUUCUAGUCGAUUUAAUGGGGGUCCAUUCUACUGAUUUUACGAUUUUUGAGAUUAAGAACUUUUUUCUUCAAAUUUUUGUUUGAUUUUGCUCUGUUUCAUUUGUAGUGUUGUUGUAGGUAGUAUUUUUUAGUGAUAAUAUGCCUUCAAUGGCAUAUAUCGGGUUUUGAUUAGAAUAUAAGUUUUUGCCUUUUUUGUAAAAUGAAAAAUUGGGUCCACAAAAUUUGGGGCUUUUGGUUUGUUUGUUGUGUAAUGCUCGUAUUAUGGCUAUAUAUUGUAGUUUUAUGCCUUCAAUAGCAUUUUUUGUUAUUUCAAUUAAAUUUUAGGGGUUUUUUUAUAAAUUCAGAAUUGGGUCCGAAAAUUUUGGGGCUUUUGAUUUUUUUGUUGUUUAAUGCUCCUAUUAAACGUGUGUAUAGUAGUUUUGUACCUUCAAUGGCAUGUUUUGUUAUUUCAAUUACACUUAAGGGUUUUUCUGGUAAAAUCAGAAUUGAUUUUUUUAUUCCUUUAUUUUUUUUUUUAAAUUUUAGGGCUUUGUGAAUAAUUGCCUAAUGUAUAUGUUAUCUUGUCAUUGUACAUGUUUUCUAAAUAAAUGGACAUGAUUGUAACACUUCAAUUCACGUAUAAGGAUGUCUUUUUGUCAGACCCUGAUUUAAGGUAUGCAAAUGGAGUUUGUAUUCCUGAUAAAAUUAGAGUAGAUGUUGAUAAGCUUCAUGUUAUGUUGUUUCACAACUUAGAAGCAGAUUUUGAUGUGGAAAAAAUUAAAAUCUUUUGGUGUAGAGUAAACAAAAAGGGAUAUUAUUACGAGUUAAAAAAUGAUGUUGAUGAUUUAAGCCUUAUAAGUAGUUUAAAAAAUGUUGAUUUAGUUGAUAUAUAUGUGGUUCACCAAAUUAGUGAACCUAUAGUUGUUAAUGAUGAUGUGGCAGCCACUCUACAAUUAUUACUACUUAGUAAUGGUGAUGUGGCAUCCCCUUUUGAACCUAAUAGGGCUGAUGUGUCUUCAUAUCAUCUAUUGGAUAUAAAUGAAGAUGAAUAUAUAAAUGAAAAUCAGUCUCCUAGGGUAGAAAAAGGAAAAUCUAAGGUUUCUUGUGAAGACUUAGGUGAUUCUGAAUUAAUAAUUUCUCCACAUAUCAUCUCCAAACAUCUGAUUUUGAAUUAGAUUUUGAUUUUAUUGAUUCUGAUGGUGAUUCACUUUAUGAUGUUGAUGAAAACAUUGAAGAGUUGAGUGAUUUUGAUAAAGAGUUGCUUCAAGCUAGAAAGGCUAACAUUGAUAAACAAGUAAAAGAAAAGGCUAAUGGGGUAAAUCUAGAUGAGAUACCAUCUGGACCAGUAGGUAUAGAUACUGGUUUUGAGGAUAUUUGUAUGAACAAAGGGGGUUAGAUAUAAAGGUAAACUGGGUGGGGAUGACCCUUAUUUUGAUAGUUUAGAUCCGGGUAGUGACAUUAGUUAUGAAGAGGAAGGAGAUCCUGUUAAUGAUGAUGAAGUGGUAGAUCCACUACCUAGAACUUCUUCUAGCAAGAUCUACUUUGAUAAAAUUGCAAAGAAGCUAUGUUUUCAGUUGUAUAUGGUUUUUUUGAAUGCUAUUAAGUUUAGAGAGGUACUGCAGAGUUACUCUAUUAAAAAAGGUGUGAACCUUAAGUUGAAAUCUAAUGAGAAGGAAAGGGUAAGGGCUAAGUGUAAGCAUAAGGGUUGUCCUUGGGUUAUUCUUAGAAGUAUGAUAACACAAGAUUUUUUACUGUGAAAACUUACUUCUCUGUACACAUGUGUUCUAAAAGGACAAGAAAUAAGAUGUGCAACCCUUUGUGGAUUAGUAAGCAUUACAAGGAUAGGAUUAUGAGUGAUCCAUCAAUAAAAUUGCAUUAGAUUCAAGCACUUUUAAGAAAGGACUAUGGGCUGUAUGUCAGUAAAACAGCCUGUAGAAAGGCAAAAAUCAGAAUAUUGAAUAAAAAUUUUGGUGAUUUUGUUGAAGAGUUUUCUAGUUUGUAUGACUAUGCUGAAAGAUGAGGACCACCAAUCUUGGUACCAUUGUAUCUAUUAGGACAUCCAAGAAUGUAAUUUCAGGAAAAGAGGUGUUUAUGGGCAUUUACAUUUGUUUGGGGCCUUAAAAAGUGGAUAGAAAGAGGGUUGCAAAAAAAAUUGAUUUAGAUGGUACCUUUUUCAAGGGUGUAUGUAAAAAUAUCUUAUUGUCUUGCAUUUCCAAAGAUGGAAAUAAUCAAAUGUACCCUUUAGCAUGGGCUGUGGUUGAUAAAGAAAUCAAGGACACAUGGUUUUGAUUUCUUAGGUGCAUCAGCCAUGAUUUGGAACUUGAAGAAAAUGAGGGUGAAGGCUUGACAGUAAUGUCUGAUAUGCAGAAGGUAUGACUGUUCAUAUGUUCAUAUUUUUCAGUUAUUUAUUUUUUAGUUUGCCACAGUGAUGUCUUUAAUGUUUAACUACUGUUUUACAUGUUUUGAUAGGGUCUUCAUUUGGCACUUACUAAUCUACUGCCAAAUGCUGAGCAUAGAUGGUGCGCUAAACAUAUAUGGGCCAACUGAAAGUAGGUUUGGAGUGGUGAGGAAAGGAGAAAAAAAUUCUGGCAGGUUGCAAGGGCCCCAUUUGAAGUGUACUUGCAAAAGAAACUUAAUGAAAUGAGUGAGUUGGGUGAUGGAAUUAUGGAAGAUUUGCUCAAGUACAAUAAAGAGGCAUGAUGUAGGGCCUUUUUAAGGAACACAAUAGGUGUGAUGUGGUUGAGAACAAGAUAUGUAAGACUUUCAAUAGUUGGAUUUUAGCUGCUAGGUUCAACACAAUUAUCACUAUAUUGGAGGAAAUAAGAUGCAAAGUCAUGGAAAGAAUGAAUCAAAUGAGAGAUUUUCCUGAAAAAUAGAUCACUGAUGUAUCACCAAUGACUAUGGAAGUUCUUACAAAGAAUGGUGAAUAUAUAGCCAAGUGUGAGGUGAGGUUUAAUGGUGAUAUGGUUUGAGAUUGGUGAUCCACCUUAUACACAUGUUGUUAAUGUGAAGAGGAAACAAUGUAGUUGUAGGUCAUGGCAACUAAAGGAAAUUCCUUGUGCACAUGCAAUUGCUGCAAUGCAUUAUAAGGGAUGGAAUGUGGAGUCAUUUUUUGAUCACUGGUAUCAAAGGGAAACAUACCUGAAGGCAUAUGAUAAGUAGAUUCAACCAAUGAAAAAUAUUAACAUGUGGCCAAGAAGUACAAGACCACCAAUUAAGCCACCUGAGAUUACUCCCAUGCCAGGAAGGCCAGGUAAAAAUAAAAAGAAAGCUAAGGAUGAAGAUGUUAAGAAGAAGUUUGGAAAGGCUACAAGAAAGGGAAGAAAAAUGACAUAUUCUGUGUGCAAGUGUAUUGGACACAACAAAAAAGGAUGUCCAACUUUGGUAAGUUAAAUCUUUUCUUAUUGAUGAAUUUUACUCUAUUUGAAUGUGUUUUUGACCUUUUCAUAUUUAUUUGUAGAAAAAGAUUUCAGUAGUAGCUGUGGCAGUCAACCAAGUGUGCAACCCGGCACUAGUACUGCAGCUGCUGCUGAGAGAGAUGCAAAUGCUUCAACAGCUGAAGAGAUGACUGUAAAUGCUAAAUCAAGUAAUAGAAGGCUUGCAGGAAGGCCUUCAAAUGCUCACAGUUCACCAAGAUGUUCAGAAAGUCAUGCAAAUGCUUAUAGGUUACCAACAGCUGCAGAAAGACCUACAAAUACUGCAUCAAUUGGUGGUGUGAGGCCUGUAGCUGCUGUGAUGCCCACUAGCACUUCAGCAGUGGGUGCUACUGUUACAUAAUCUACAACUUAGCAGUCUACUAGUGGUGUUGGUGUCCAAAAGAGGAAGACUAGUACAACUUUGAGAGGUGGUGCAAAUCUGGCAUAUAAAAGACCAAGGCAAAAGAAUGCAAAAGAAGAAGGUUUUGGUGUGGUAUUUGGACCAAGUGGAAGUGUGGUAGGGAGGGUUAGUUUUAUAUAAUGUACUUUACAUUUAACUGGUUUUAAUUAGUGCAUGAAUAAUGAAUUUUUUUAUUUUUACAGCCUGGAAAUACUGAUAGAGUAUUACAUAGUCUAACACUUAUUUGUUCAAUUCCAACCAAUAUUGACUUGGGUUUCAAACCAAAUGGACUAAGGUGGAAAGGUGGAGCUAUAGUAACUCAAAGACAGCUACAACAACAGAGUAACAAAAGAUCAAAGGCAAAAUUAUCUCCAACUACUCAAGCCACAUCAAGCACUCAAGCCAGCAAGAAUCAGUCCAUAACAAACACUCAAGGAACACAUUAGUGUAAUUCUCUUUCUGUAUUAAUCCCAAAGUGUUGUUAAGACGAUUUUUUAAUACUUCUGGUUCAUUUCUCAUUUCAAAUAUUGUUAAGACAAACAUUUUGAUGUCAACUCUUGUUAAGAUAUUAUAUAUUGUAGAUUUCUAUGUUGGCAAUGAUGUUUGUCUUUAAAUUUUAAUUUCAUUUCAUUCUACAUACCUACUACAUAGAUCAAGCUAUCUUAAAUAAUACAACAGAUAGAAACCAGAUGACAACAAUAAUGAUAACAGUGAUAUCAAUACUAAUGCUUGGUCGUUCAUGUCUUCCGUGCCUUCCAUAUCUUUCUAGUUCUUUUUGUCUUUGUUGCCUUCGAUGUCUAUCUUUAUAUUACUCAUUUUCAUCAGCCAAUCGAAAGAAUCCAUAACUAGUACCAACCUGAUAUUUUUGACAGUCCCAAAACAUUCUUUCUAGAUUGGUUGGUGUUCUUGACAUCUUAAGUUCGCAUAAAGUCCACAAUAACAAAUUUGAACUGUCAUGGUGUUGCAAAAAAUUACAUAAAAAAUUAACUUUCCAAUAUUACAAGCAUAACAGUAAAAAAAAAAAUUAAAGAACAAGAACUCGGAGAGAGAAAAAUAGAGAAGAAGGGAUGAAAAAAAGCUCAAAUUGCUCCAACAAUGGUGUUCGAAGCAAAUAAGGAAGAAAGAGCAUUUAUAAUGGGUGUUGGAACCCUUUUUGACCGUUGGGGCCCUUUAUUUUAUGGCUGAUGUGCGGCUGGAGACUAAAACACACGCUCCUAUAUGGUCCCAGCCACAUAGGAUGCCACAUCAAAAAUUCUGUUUAAAAAGUUAUUUUUAGUGGGUUCAGGGGUUCAGAUGACAAACAUGUAAGUAUGAGUGUCCAAAUUACAAAACCGACAUAGUACAGGGGUCCAGAAGAUUAUUUUGCCAUUCAUGCUUCUUUGAAGUUUCUCACUAGACAAGUGGACUUGUUUUUCUUAUAACGUGCCCAAAAAACAUGAAACGACUUCUGUUCAUUAACUAGUUUACACACUCAAUUUUUCAUUACUUAUUUUUGUUGAUUUGUGAUACCCGUUGCACUUUAUUUGGAUGAUGGUACGGUGUGAUAUGGUUUAUAAGAUUAUCAUGUUUGUUUUAAUUAUUUUGUAAAAUGUAUGUUGUUUGAUUUUAUAAUUUGAUAAUCAUGAAAUCUCUCAUUGUAACCAUAGAUUUGAUGGUAUAUCAUUGUGUUAUUAUUUUUUUAAAAUUAUAUUCUUAAUUAAUAUUAUAUAAUUUUAUUUAUAUUAAUCAACUCUAACAUCUGACUUCUACCCAGCCUACCUUCGAAAAAAAAUUACUUUCUUCGUCCUAUUUUAUGUGUCACAGUUUAAUCGAACAUGUAGUUUAAGAAAUAAGGAAAGACUUGAUGAAGAUUAUUAAAUUAUCAUUUAUAGAAAAAUAUGCUACUCUUAUCUUCAAUUAAGUGAGACCAUAUAAGUUGGACCAACAAAGGUAAAAGUAAAUUAUGUUUUUAAAUAGUUACAAAAUAAAAAAAGAUAACAUUUUAUAGGGGGCGGACAAAAAAAUUAUGACGACACAUAAAAUGAGACGGAGGAAGUAUGUUAUUUUAUUUUUAAAAUUUCUUUCUUAGAAAAUUUCAAAAAAUAUGUUUUUAUUUGACCCCCUACCCUGGCCCCACCCCCUACAUACAUAAAAUAAGAUGGGGGAAGUAUGUUAUUUUAUUUUUAAAAUUUCUUUUUUAGAAAAUUUCAAACAAUAUUUUUUAUUCGACCCCCAACCAAAAAAUUAUUUUUCUUAAAAAAAAUUUAAAACUUUUUUCUCACCCCAGUCCCUAUCCCGACCUCCUACUCCACUACCCCCACCCCCCAAAUAUUUUUUUUUAAAAAAUUAAAUUUAUUCUUGCCCCGCCCUCUUUGUCAUAUUCGUUUUUAAUAUUUUGUGUUAAAUAUAUACAAAUUCUUUUAGAAAAUAUUUUCCUACUUGCUCAACGAACAUUAGAAAAUUAGUAAGAAAUAAUUUAUUUUUCUAGAAAAUAUUUUUGUAAUAUUUUUCUUCCAUACCGAAUACACUCAUAGCAUACACAAAAAAUACAUUCAAAUUUUCUAUUUGUUAUUCGUGGUCAUGGAUCAAAACAUAAAAAAAAAAUUUAUUACUAUAAAAAAAUUCAUUACACUUACUUUGAUCUACUCUUUUAUUGGCUUUGCUAGAAUUUACAUAAACUUAACAACUUAAUAUAUGUACAUAUAGGGCUGAUAAUUUCAGGCCAUAUUUAAAAAAAAAGUCCAUUUAAUUCAUAUAUAAUAAGUUGGAUCACUCAUAUUUUAAAUGGGUAUAUAAGGUUAGCAUAUUUUAAAAGCUCAUAAACUAGAUGGGUAAAAUAUGAAUUCAUGUAGAGACCCAAUCAAGAUUUAAUCUAAAGAAUAUUAACAUACUGAUAUUAGAAAAUUAUUUUGAGGUGCAUGGUAGGGGUGGGGUAUUGGGGAGGGUAUUGAAAAGGGAUGCAUGGGGGGUAAGAAGGAAGGGAAGGGGUAAGAAAUUUUUGUUUAAGAAAACUAUUUCCUUGUGUUUUUUGGGAGAAGGGAUAAGAGGGGUUUUUCGGUAGGGGGAUGUGGGGCAUGCUGGGUGGGGUUUACGAAAUCUCCUUUUUAAAAAAAUUAUUUUGGGGGUACAGGUGAGGUUGGGAGUUGGGGAGGGUGUUGUAGGGGGUGUUCAUAGUUGGGGGUAAGAUUUUUUUAUAAAAAGAAAAUUAUCUUUCAAAGAGAGGGAGGAAAGAGGAGGGGGGGUUAUUUCUUUAUUUUUUUUUUUUAGAGAAAGGAUGGGGUGGGAGACGGAGGGGGUUCGUGGUAUAUGAUUUUGUGGGGCAGUGUGCGGGGAUUAGGGUAGGUACAAAUUUUUUUUUAAAACAAACAAUUUUUGAAAAAUUCUUGGGGGAGAGGGGCGGGGGUGUGGGAGAGGGUGGGUGGAAAAAAUCAAGUUGAAAUGUAUAUUGAAAUUCUAAAGCUUUUUUUGGCUAUUGUAGUUAAGGUGAGUUGUUAUUAUUUUUAUCCAAUUCAUAUUGACCAAAUUCAGGAAAUUACAUAGAAUGACCAUAAAGGUGGGUGACUUUGAAUUUUUGACUUCCAUAAGAAAAGUCUUUAAAAACUAGUCUUCCUUUUUUUUAUUUUUUUUUAUGUAUAGUACAAAUAUAUUUUUGCCCUCUUGCUACACCUCAAAUAUUUUUGAACUUUUCAUUCUCAUUUGUUUCUCAACCUCUAUUUUAAUUUUUUACCUUAACUUUUAUGUUUUUCUUAUUUACUUCAUUUUUCUCAACUUUUAUUUUCUUUUACUUUUUUUUCUCAAAUAUUAUUUAUUUCUUCAUUUUUUUUAAUUCAUUGAUCUCAAUCUUUAUUUUUUUUUGUUUUCUUAAUCAAUUCUUAUUUUUCCUUUUUUCUUUUUAUCAAUUUUUUUUUCUUCUCAUGUUUGUUUUUCUCAAUCUUCUUUUUCCUUUUUUUUUUAUUUAUUCUUCUCUUUUUUCUUAACCUUUAUUUUUUUCUUUUCUUUUUUUUUCUCAAUCUUUUUUUUUAAUUUCUCUAUUUUGUUUGUUCUCUUUUUUGUUUUUUCAGAACUUCUAUUAUAUUUUGCUAAUAAAUAAAAAAUUGAAUAAUCCGCAAAGAGAUUCUUUUUGACAUCAAAGAAAAUUUAAGGGCAUAACUUGUUGUUAGGAAGUCCUUUGAGAUAAGUCUCGCCUUUAAGACAAAAAUUAUAGGAUAACUCACAAAUCAAGACACAAUAUGAUAAUGUCAAAUUUUGAUGGUGGAUCAUAACUUGUUGUUUGAAAAUCCUUGAGUCAAGUCUUGCUUCUAAGGCAAGAGUUAUAGAAUAUCUCAUAAAUGAAGAAAUAGUCUGGUAGUGUCAACACCUGUCCAUUGGGCGUAACUUGUUCUUUUGAAAGGUUCUUGGGAUAAUUCUUAUCUUAGAGGCAAGACUAAUAGAACAUCACAUAAAUCAAGACACAAUAUGAUAGAGUCAACUCCUGUCCACAGGGCGUAAUUAAAUUGUCGGCUAAGUCUUGCCACUAAGGCAAGAGUUAUAGAAUAUCUCAUAAAUCAAGACAUGAUGUGGUUGUGUCAACUUUUACCCAUUGGGGUGUAACAUGAUGUCUGAAAGUCCUUGGACUAAUUCGUGCCUCUAAGGCAAGAGUUAUAGAAUAUCUCAUAAAUUAAGAGAUAAUGUGAUAAUGUCAACUCUUACCCAAGGGGCAUAACUUGUUGUUUGAAAGUCCUUGAUUUAUAAAACAUCUCAUAAAUCAAGACACAAUGUGAUAGUAAAAAAUCUUUCCCAUAGAUCGUAACUUGUUGUUUAAAAGUCCUUGUACUAAGUCUUGCCUCUAAGAUAAGAGUUAUAGAACAUCUAAAAAAUUAAAACGUAAUGUGAUAGUGUUAAUUCUUACCCAUGGGGCGUAACUUGUUGUUUGAAAGUCUUUGGGUUAAUUCUUGUCUCUAAGGCAAGAGUUAUAAAAUAUCUCAUAAACCAAAACACAAUGUGGUAAUGUCAACUCUUACCCAUAGGGCACAACUUGUUGCUUAAAAAGCCUUUGGUGUAAGUCUUGCCUCUAAGAGAAGGGUUAUAAAGCAUUUCAUAAAUCAAUUCAUGAUGUGGUGGUGUAAAAUCUUGCCCAUGGGGCAUAACCUAUUGUUUGUUGGUCCUUGAGCUGAGUCAUACCUUUAAGACAAGAGUUAUAUAGCAUUUUAUAAGUAAAAAACACAAUGUAUAUAACAUCUCGAAUCUGGUACCUGAAAUGCUACACGAUGCUCAUGACCCCAAAGGACCAUAAGCUAAUCUAUGACUAAUAUCUGUACCUAUAUACUGCCUAAUAUACUGUAUAAUUGUGAAAAUAUGAACUGAAAGGCCAUAAGGUUCAAAAACGUAACAUAAGAUCUGAUAAAAUAUAACAUCUGGGUGGGGUAUGAAAUAUCUAAAACAAAACUAUUUAAACAUACUGUAGUCUAAAAAGCCUCUAAAACAUGACUGUCUGAAUAAGGAGUUGAUGGGACAUGUCCCUAACUAACUUUAACUAAUAAAUUAAUUAAUGAGAUAAUAAAGGAAUGAUCAUGUCCUCGAAGGAUGAGGACUUACUGCUAACUCUGACUGCUGAGACUGGAAUGGUACUGAUGCUCUGGAGCUCGUGUCUCUGAACCUAUGGUAUAAAACACCAUAGCACAAAUGCUUCAAUAUGAUUGAAUGUACUGGUAUGUAAGUGAGGUAGGCUGAAUGCAAAGGGUUCACAUUCAUGAACUAUACUAACUGGCUGCAUAACAUGAACAUGAGAAUGCAUGUAUGAAUACAUAAUAACUAUAAUUGAGUUCGUGAAAACAUGAUUACUGAGUCUGAGUACUGUUAACAUGAGAUACUGAUAACUAUAUAAUUGAAAUAUCUGAUACUGAAUGACUGUAUUGGACAGUCUAGUUUCUGAUGGAACUAGCUGAGUUUCGUACUAUUCUGAGUUGACUGUAUCUGACAGUCCUAAAUUCUGUAGAACUAUCUGAGUUCUAUUACUAAAACUGAAUGACUGUAUCUGACAGUCCUGAUUCUAUAACUGAAAUUAUGGGAAGUAGUCAUCUAACCGAUAUGCCCCUAAUAUGUCAUUAUGGCUGAGUUGGGGUCCAAUCUGUAACCCCAAUUAGAAGGGUGUCAAUACCGCCACUUGUAAGGAUAAUCUAUGAGUAACCCUCAUAUAACAGGUAGCUCUAAUGAGAACGGUGGGAACCCUCAUAUAGCAGGCUAUGAUGUCUCAAUCUAUGCUGGCUAUAUAGUUCUGGAAUGCAAGAAUUUUUUCUAAGAAUUACACUGAUACGGGUAUCAUGGGUUCGAGACCAAUUACUAGGAGCCAAGCUGGGGAACUACAAAGGCUUCAAGAUACAUUUAUGAAAAUGGAUGUAUUGGAGCCAUCCAAAGGAGUAUAUGCAUUGACAUGUAAGGAAUUUUCUUUGGUGUUACAGAACAUACCAAAGCUAUCCACUUUUACAUCCCAAACCCACCCCUUUCAUUAUAGGUAGAAGAGUCCUUUCCUCAUGAAUUUUGUACUAGACUAUUUAUAGGAUACUUUUAGUCUGUCUCCUUAGUUAGCUUAUUUUGAAAAUCAAUAUUGUAACAUUGAAACACCAUCAUCUCAAGAGAGAGUAGACCACCACUUUGACAUCACAAGAAAUGGUUUCUUCUUGUGUUGUGUGUAUCGGCUAGAAACGUGAGUGCUUGAGUGAACUGAGAUCCUCUUGUGUUUGCGUAAGAACUUGGUUCUUGUUAAUCUGUUUUUAGAGGUUUUAGAGUUUGAUACACUCUUUAGUUGCUACAUUACAAGUUUUCUUUGUGUCAAGUUAUCUAUCUUCUUUAUUUUUCAAGUUUGUGUUUGUUGUUUCCGUUUGGUGUCUUGUAUGCGUGGGCUAUUUUUGCGAGAUUGAAAACUAUUUUGUGCUCAUUUAGAUACCGUUUGGUAUCAUUUGGUGUAAGAGCCAUCAUUGAUUUCGUUCCCAUGAGAUCAAUCUUGGGCUUGUUCACUUGAAAAAUAAAAAAAAAGGUGUUGAAAAAGCUGAAAAACUCAAAAAUAGUAAAGCUGUCCCAUUUUUUUGGUUCUUGGCCGAAAUUUAUGUGUUUUGUGUGUUAUAGUGUUAGAUCUUUGUUUCCUAACACUAUAAGAGGUGUCGAAAAUGGAAAAUUUCACAAAAAAAGAGUUGUUCCCAUUUUUGUACCUUGGCAGAGAAAUUGUGUCUUGUUUGUAUGUCUUGGCCGAGAUUUGAUGCAUAGAUUUAGGUGUUAUUUUGAUUGUCUUAGUAGUUUCGUGUGUUAUAUUGUUGUUUUCCUAGCACACUUGAGUCUAAGUUCCAAGAUUUGAGCCUUUGUUUAGUGUUGUUGAAGGGUUGGACAGCUUGAAUAUUAUUGUUGUUCAUAAGUGUUCUUAUUAUUGUUCAUAAUGUUCUUGAGGUGAAUGUUCAACAAAAGGUGUGUGAUUUGAAAAGGGGAAGAGAGAGGUUAAGUCUUGUGUUUGUCUUGAAAAUAGUUUCAAGACAAAAUGGAAAAUUUCACAAAAAAAGAGUUGUUCCCAUUUUUGUACCUUGGCAGAGAAAUUGUGUCUUGUUUGUAUGUCUUGGCCGAGAUUUGAUGCAUAGAUUUAGGUGUUAUUUUGAUUGUCUUAGUAGUUUCGUGUGUUAUAUUGUUGUUUUCCUAGCACACUUGAGUCUAAGUUCCAAGAUUUGAGCCUUUGUUUAGUGUUGUUGAAGGGUUGGACAGCUUGAAUAUUAUUGUUGUUCAUAAGUGUUCUUAUUAUUGUUCAUAAUGUUCUUGAGGUGAAUGUUCAACAAAAGGUGUGUGAUUUGAAAAGGGGAAGAGAGAGGUUAAGUCUUGUGUUUGUCUUGAAAAUAGUUUCAAGACAACACCCAAAGAAGCAAAUCAACAAAAGACCUCCCAAAAGCUCCCUUACUAAAAGAGUGCCAAAAUCUUUUUCAAGAAGAACCAAAAGAGGAAAGGGACAAAGCCAAAGCAAAAAAGGUGUUUUUCCAUUUUGGUGCAAGUUGGUGAAAAUUUUAUUGAUACCUUUUUGGCUUUACAAAAAAGAGUCCAAGGCCUUGUCUUUCAUUCCAAAAACCGAAAAAGCCUCACCAAACAAACAAAAUUGAAUCAUUCAAGUUGGACAACAUCAAACAUCAACAAAACAACAAAACCAAAUGGCCAAAAUAAAAAUUGUGGGCCACAUCAACAACAAAACUCAAGUCAUAGGACCUUCCAAGUUUCUUUCCUUGUCUCUAUUAGUUUUCUUUCUAUUGAAUCCUACACUAGUUUACAACUAAGUAACAACCUACCAAGUUGUGAACUAGUUUUUGAGUACGUCUUCAUGUCAACGUUCUUUGUGGUGCUUUGUUCGUUUACAAUUCAUAGUUGUUCUUGAUUCAAGUGCGUAUGAAACUUUCUUGAGUCUUCAAAAUUGAAAUCCAUUCUAACUCAAGAGUAGUCUUAUCCCUAAGCACUCAAGGAUUGAUAGUCGGCUUCUAACACUUGAAGAACCAAGUGAGGAAGACGAGUGUGAAGAAUGUGUGAGCAUGUUUUGAACUAACAUUUGCUUGUUUUGUAGGUACAAUUGUAAAUAGAAACCAAAAAUUCCAAUGCUCCAACCGUGGACAAUAAUAUUAUGAAUGCCCUCUUAGCUAGUCUUGAAACUUUGUCUCGAGGCGUGGCUACGAUGAAGGCAAAUAUUGAGAAGUUGAGCUUGGAUGUGGCCUCAACGAGUUAGAGGUUAGAUAGGGUGGAAAUCCAAAGGAGUUCUCGACCUCAUACCUCUUAAAACACCUCAUGUACUAUUACUCUCGAGACCUUGCACCAAAGAUUGUAUCCACCAAGAGCUACAAACUAAGUCAAUCUUUACUCCCCAAGCUGAGAAUAAGAUGGACCUAUCCGUUCCUCACUCCACCAAGUCCCACAAGACAGACUUGGAACUCAUAUUCCAUCCCUAAACCCAAAUUCUCCGCUCCAAAAUCCUCAAAUUCAAAGACUCUGCACUCCACUAAAUCCAAUGUCUCCUUCCCAAGCUACACUAACCCAAAAAUACCCCAUCCAAGUAGAAAAAGAGAGAGAGUUAGGAUCCAAGGAUAAUGAGGUGAAGGCUCAAGAUGGAGAGAAAAUUAGUGGUGAAAUAUAAGAAGAAUGUGAAGAAAAAAAGGCAAGGAAAAGGAAAACUGCGGGUAGUGAAGUAGGAAAGAGAAAGAAAAAUAUGCUUGUGGGGUUUUCCCACAAAGGAUCUUUGAUACUCACUAACCCAUAUGCUAGCACUUUGCCUAGAAUUAAUCCUUUUUAUGUACAGUUUCAAGUUCAUAUGCUAUCAAAGAAGGAUCAAAAAGGGGUUCCACACGAUAACAUGGGAAAUGUGCUAGUGACACCCUUGGCCGAGAGCUCCAAACAAGUGGACUGUCGUGGCAUACACCGAGGUAUAAUUGUUACACUCUAUACUUUCUUAGGCUUGAAAUAUUGUGAUAAGGAUAUUAGUAUCCAAUGUGAAGUGGCUUCGGGUUUACAUAGCGUAGAAAAGCAUGAAUCCUUCCUUGGUAGUCCUCUUGUUUCAUAUGUUGGUCAAUUUUCUCUUAAGGAUAGUUCACUACUUGAUCAUGUGAGUGGUGUGAUUCAAAAUCCUCAAGUUAGUGUUCAUUCUUAUAAUAUUGACCAUAAUAUUGGACCUAUUCCUUUGAGUUUGUGUGGUGCAAAUCGUGCUACUAGUUUUGCUCAAGGUAAUCAUAUGUUUGGAAAACUUUUGAAUAAAGGUGUGCUUGCUCUUAAGAGAAGACUUCUAGGCCACAAAUCCUUAGUCUUGGAUGAUAGCCUAGUAAAAGGAUUGGUUAAUCUCAGCUUAUUCCCUUGGUUACACCAUUCCUUUGAUCUCAGAACACUAGUGGGUUGGAAAAGGAGUUGCCUCGGCUUAUGCUUAUCUUUCCUUGAUGAUUAUCUUAUCCCUAUCCUUUGUAAUUUUAAAACUACGUGUUUUAUGGUAAAAAUAAAGGAUUUCUGGUUGAAUUUUAAAAGUGUACUCCCUCGGCAAGAUGUCUUCACACUUGAUUCCUUUCUAUACUACCUCUUUACUUAUGAUGAUAACCAUGUUAAUGUCGAAUUUGUAUUGUGUAGUGGUAGGAAGUUUGGUGGCUGGUUUUCUUCUUUGCAUGAUGGUGAUAUGUGGUUUAGGUGGAUCUUAAGAUCAAUAGUGGCACUAUAUUUGAUGUGGUCCUCUGUAGAGGUAAUGAAACAAAUGUAUCUUAUGGUUCCUAAGAUAAAUGUAGUCUUACCUUUUGGGUAUAGUAAAACCAUUAAAUCCAUGAUAUUUGGCAAAGCCAUUUCCUUUGUUCCAUUCAUGCUAAGCUUUUCAUGUCACACACAAAGGUCCCGUGGGUAUAUUCCGAAUUUGAACAACCUUGGCUUAAUGACAUAUGUGAUAGUUUCAGAUUGUACUCCUCUUUCCUUGAUGUUUAUCUUAUCCAUAUGCUUUGUAAUAUUUGUGGUACAUGUUUCAUGAUCAUAACAAAGGAUUGUUGGUUGUAUUCCAAAAGUGUACCCCCUUGGCAUGUCUAUAUAAUUUGUGGUACUAAUGCUAACCCUCCUAUCAUGAGAAUUGUGUGUUUGUUUUCCCUCUCUUUGGUUUUGCAAGGUACAAAUUUGAGGACAAAUUCCUUUCAAGAUGGAGAGGAUGAUACGGGUAUCAUGGGCUCGAGACUAAUCACUAGGAGCCAAGCUUGGGAAUUACAAAGGCUUCAAGAUACAUUUAUGAAAAUGGACGUAUUGGAGCCGCCCAAAGGAGUAUAUGCAUUGACAUAUGAGGAAUUUUCUUAGGUGUUACAAAACACACCAAAGCUGUCCACUUUUGCAUCCCAAACCCACCCCUUUCAUUAAGGGUAGAAGGGUCCUUUCCUCAUGACUUUUGUAAUAGACUAUUUAUAGGAUCCUUUUAGUCUUGCUCUCCUUAGUUAGCUUAUUUUGAAAAUAAAUAUUGUAACAUUUAAACACCAUCCUCUCAAGAGAGUGUAGACCACCACUUUGACAUCACAAGAAAUGGUUUCUUCUUGUGUUGUGUGUAUCAGCUAGAAAUGUGAGUGCUUGAGUGAACCGAGUUCCUCUUGUGUUUGCAUAAGAACUUGGUGCUUGUUAAUGUUUUUUUAGAGGUUUUAGAGUUUGAUACACUCUUUAGUUGAUACAUUAAAAGUUCUCUUUGUGUCAAGUUAUCUAUCUUCUUUAUCUUUCAAGUUUGUGUUUGUUGUUUCCGUUUUGUGUCUUGUAUGUGUGGGCUGUUUUUGCGAGAUUACGGACUAUUUUGUGCUCAUUUAGAUACCGUUUGGUAUCAUACACCCUCAUAUAACUGGUGAUUUCCCAUCCUCGGGUUCCCUCGGUGAUAAUUUCUACUCCCAUCUGAAUAAACACUGAACAUGAUUAACUGAACUGACUGAAGUGAGUUAACUGAGUUUCAUUAACUGAUGGAAUAUUACUAAGAUCUGAUAACUAACUGAGAUGUACUGAGUUUUCCUGAGUCAUGAGUUUGACUGAAUUCUACUGAACAUGGCUUGACUGAGAGUAUCUUAAAAACAUGACAUUGGCUUUAGGCAUACAACUAAAUUGUCGAGUACAAGUACUCCCAGGACUCGAUGGAAGAAAACUGACAAAGCAUGACUUCUUGACCAACAUCAACAAUCCAUAAUAUAAUAAGUGGAGAUAUUUCAUAGGUAUUUGAUUAUCAUAGCUUUGUACGUGAAUAAGAUAGCAUGUAUACAUAGCAUAAUUUCAUAAAGCUAACUCAUGAGCAAUCCAACAAUAAUUUCAAUACGUAAGAAUAACAUGGAAGUCGUUUUGAACAUAAAGUUAAAGCAUAAAUUGUCAUUUGGAUCACAAUUUAGCUAUAGUGCAUAAUUUCUAUAAUUCUAGGCAUUUUAUCAAACACCUUGCAUGCACCCUUAGGGCAUAGGCAUAGUCAUCAAAUUGACACAUUAUAACUAACUCAAUUAAUGGAUUUCACACACUUGCUAAUUGAGUUUUUACAAAAAGGACAUAAAUACUCCAAGUUGGAAAUCAUAUAACAAGAUAAACAUGAUUACAACCAACCUAUAACAUAAAUAUCACGAUUUACAAUUUGAAAUAGGGUUCUUGAGCUUUAUGGAUGAAAGAGGUCCAUAAAUCAAUACUAUGCAUACCUUAGUUCUUGAUUCUAUGAAGAUUGACGGAGAGACUCUUGAAUUUGAGUAUUGAAUUGAAUCCCCAAUUGAAACUGUAGCUUGUUCUUGAGAGAAAUAAUAUAUUUUGGAUUCCAAAUAGCUGAAUCUCGUGUUAAAGAGCUUAAAUAGGGGUGAGAAAUUGACCCUUUUAACCCUGAACGCAUCUUUUAAAUUGGUGAAAAUUUCCCGAACUGGACCCCUGGCUCAACACGGAGCUAUUGCACCGUGUCACUGGAAUUUGAUGACUGGGAAAUUGGGGAAUGGCCCGACGCGGAGCCAUUGCAUUGUCACAUUAUUUGCAACCUGGAAGUUUGGCGCGAUGCGGAGAAAUCACACUGAGAUACUGAAAAAAGGACAAUUGCCAUUUUUGCUUGUGGCGCGGCGCACCACUGACUAAUAUAGCGCUGUUUUACAACGGGAACUUGAAAUAGUCAUAACUUCUUAACCAGUUAUCGUAUUUGAGCGAAUCUUAUAUCAAUGGAAAGCUUAUUGAAUUUCCCACAUGACAAAAAGUGAAAAUAUUAAAAAUUUUCCAUGGAAUAAACAUCAUUCAAUUUAUAAGCUAAUUCUUGACAUUCUUGGGAUAAAAUUAGUUAGGAAACUUCGAGGUAUUAAAAUGUAUUAGUUUGACUCUUGCCCAAUGUACGUAACUUGUUUGAAAAAUUUUGGGAUAAGUCAUACCCCUAAGGCAAAAGUUGUAGAACAUCUCAUAAAUGAAGACAUAAUGUGGUAGUGUCAACUCUUACCACUGAGGCAUAAUUUGUUGUUUGAAAGUUCUUGAACUAAGUUUUGCCUCUAAGGCAAGAGUUAUAGAACAUCUCAUAAAUGAAAAAUAACGUGAUAGUAUCAACUCUUACCUGUGGGGUAUAGUUUAUUAUUUGAAAGUCUUUGAGCUAAGUCUAUGUCUUGCCUCUAAGGCAAGAGUUGUAUAACAACUCAUAAAUGAAGACAUAACUAGGUAGUGCCAACUCUUGCUCGUGGGGCAUAAUUUAUUAUUUGAAAGUCCUUGAGCUAAGUCUUGCUUCUAAAGCAAGAGUUGUAGAACAUCUCAUAAAUGAAAAUAUAACGUCGUUGGGUCAACUCUUGCCCAUGGGAUUUUUUGAAAGUCCUUGAGCUAUGUCUUGCCUCUAAGAUAAGAGUUAUAGAACAUUUCAUAAAUCAAAAUACAAUGUGAUUGUGUCAACUUUUGCUCAUGAAAUGUAACUUCUUGUUUGGAAGUGAUAAGUCUUGCCUCUACAAUGUGGUAGCGUCAACUCCUGCUUAUACGACAUAACUUGAUUAGAAGAACUCGAAGAAAAGAAAAAAAAUAAAAAUUUUAAAAAAAGAAAAUAAAGAAAAAUAUUUUAAAAAAUAAAAAUUAAAGAAAAUAAAAAAAUAUAGAAGCUGAGGGAAGAAAAGGAAAAAAUAAAGAUUGAGAAAAAACAAAAAAAAAGAGAAAUAAAAAAUAAGGAUUGAGAAAAAUUUAAAAAGAAAAAAUAAAAAUUAAAAAAAUAAAUAGAAGUUGAGAGAAGAACAAGAAAAAAAAGUAAGAGUUGAAAAAGAAAAUAAAAGAAAAAUCAAAGUAAAUUUAAAAAAAGAGAUUUUUUAUAAAAAAUAGAAGUUAAGGGGAGAAAAACAAAAAAAAUAAGGAUUGAAAAAACUAAUGAGAGUGAGAUAGAGUGAGAGAGAGAGAGAGAGAAAGAGAGAGAAAAGAAAAGCUAAACAUUAGAGUAAAAUAAAAAAGAGAAAAAAAAUAAAAGUUGAAAGAUAAAUAAGUAUGGAGUUGUUUAGAAAUAUUUGAGAUAUUGAGGGGCAAAUAGGUAAUUGUUCUAUAUAAAAAACGAAGAGAAGCUAGUUUUGUAAGACUAUUCUUAUGAGGGACAAAAAAAUAAAGCCACCAAUUAUAAGGAUUAUUUAUUUAGUUUACUUGACCAAAUUCAUAUUUACCCAUAUAAUAUAGUCAACUUAUACCCCUCUUAACUAACUUCUUAGUCUAAGUUUUAAUAAUUAUAUUUUAUAGAUUUCAAUUAGCGAUUAAAUGUAUUUAGGACUGUGAUAUACAAAUAUUAACUAACAAAUUUUUUUACUAUUUCAUUUAUGUUUAUAAAAUAAAAAAAUUGGGAAUGAUUCACUUUCUUUAUUCUCUUUAACAUAUCUUUUCCAAUAAUAUUGUUUCAUCUUUUAUAUGGAUUGUUAUAAUUUAUGUUUUAAUUUUUGAAAUACAAAAAUAAAAUUCAAACUAAAAUUCAUCUGAUUUCUUCGUAUGAGUUAAGAAUUUAAAAUAGAGAAAAGACAUAUAUACACCAUUAAAGUUGUUUCAAAAUUUCAAAAAGAUAGUUAAAGUUUGAGGACGUUCUAUUACCCCACGAAAAUAGUUCCAACCACAAUAAAUAUACCAUUUUGACCUAUUUUUAGAGCAAUUGCAAUGUCACAGAUGAAGGGGAGCGUGAAUGAGUUAAAAUUCACCCCCAAGCCAAUAUACAAUUGUCAUGUGACAUUACCAUCUUGUCUUCUCCAAAUAACUUAUCUUCUCCAAACAAAAAACGAGAGGAAUUUACAAAGUUCUUUUCUAUCAAUGUAAAAAAUAAAAAAUUGGUGCCUAUGCUCCAUCCAUUCACUUUAAUCAAAACCCUUUUCAUGACAACAAAUUUCUUACGCUUCGAUUUCAUAUUUCAUCUUUCAUCAAAUAUAAAAUUUGAUUCUUUUUUUUUAAUUCUGUAAUAAUGUUCAUUGGAGACGACAUUAAUAGAUUUGAAAAUAUCAACCUAUCUUCUAACUUGACUUCAACACGAUCAACGUCUGCUACACCACUAUCAUUGCCUCCGUAGACGAUGACAUCGACGGAAGAAAAAGGUAGUUUAACACUAAUGUAGAUUCAAAGUGAUACUAUUUCUAAAUAUAAAUAUCAUUACAAUGAUGAUGGAAAAUAAAAAAUAAAGAAAAGAAAUUGACCAUCAACAACGACAAUGGAAGAAACUCUUGCAGUGAAAUUCGACAUGGUUGCCAAGGGAUAACUCUUUAUAAUUUGUUAACAAUUGUAUUAAAAUGCUAAUUUUGAUUUCCUUAACGGUGAAAUUUUUUGGAGAAAGAAAAGAGGGGAUAGGAGAAUUUCAACUGCAUAAAAGAAUAGAGAUGGGAGAGUGAAAUGAGUUAAAAUGUUAAUAGGUCAUAGUUUUAUUUGACCAUAUAUUAAAAUGAUAGAAAAAUAAUAUUAUAUAUUACUUAGAGAGUGAGAUGCACACUCUGAGGGUAAGAACACAAUUGGUGUAAAAGUGUGCUAUUAUUAUGAUUAGGACUAAGUUACAUUGGGUAAUAGGACACCCACAAACUUUAGGUGUCUUUUUAAAAAUUUGGGACAACUUUAGUGGUGUCUUCAUGUCUUUUCUCUUUAAAUAUAAUUUCAAUAUAUUUAUACAUUCAAUGUAUUUAUCCACAAAAAUUAGCUAUGAGUAGAAAUACAAAUGUAGAAUUGAUACAAAUGAAAAUUAGCUCUGAGUUAAACAUUCAAAUACAAAUACAAACGCUUACAACUCAUAUCUUCAAGACAAAUUGAUAUAAAUUCAAAUGUAUAAAAUGUAUAAAUUCAGAUUUUAUGUAUAAAUACCUUUGAGUUAUAUACAAACACAUGAUAGUUGUAUACCUAUAUAUAAUGUAUAAAAUAUGAACCGACAUAUAUAUACAUACAUAUAUAUAUAUAUAUAUAUAUAUAUAUAUAGAGACGACCCGGUUCAUACAUAGUCCGUAGGUGUCGNNNNNNNNNNNNNNNNNNNNNNNNNNNNNNNNNNNNNNNNNNNNNNNNNNNNNNNNNNNNNNNNNNNNNNNNNNNNNNNNNNNNNNNNNNNNNNNNNNNNNAUAUAUAUAGGGACGACCCGGUUCAUACCUACUCCGUAGGUGUCGGGGAGGGGGGGGACCACUCCGGGCCUGACCUACGCGCCCUCACCCCAGCUUCGCUGGAGGGGCAUAUAUAUAUAUAUAUAUAAUAUUUAUUGAAACCUCUUUCCACUUGACUUGGAAGAAAAACAUUUGAAGAAACAUUUUUUGAUUUAAUAGAUAUUUUGGCAAAUCACAAAAUAUACUCCCUCCAUUUCAAAAUAAUUGAAUUGUUGGGAUAUGACACACCCCUUAAAAAAUCUUUUAGGACAUAAAUUGUAGGUUACUUUUCAUUAUUACCCUUUUAAUUGUUCUUAAAUUACUCUCCUAGAAAAUGUGAAGUACUUAAGAACCUCGUUAAAUGAAAGGAUAAAAUUUGAAAAAACUUCCAACAUGUCUCUUGAAGAAAGAACAAUUCAUUUUUGUAGACAUUAAAAAAUUGCUCAACAAUUCAUUUACUUUAAAAUGGAGGGAGUACUAUUUAAGAGUUAAUAUAACAAAACCUACCAGUAGUUUCUACUUUCCAAGGAAAAGGAUCGAAGAAGUUGGUGAAAAUUUAAGAGGAAAGAGGUGUGAAGAGAGAACAAUUAAAUAAAUGGGAAAAUAUAUGUAUAAAUCAGAACAUAUUUUGAAAAUAGGCCAAUUUUCAAAAUUUAAUCAAUAAAUAAAAUAAAUUUCUUAAUUAAGUCAGUCAAUAUUUAAACUAAUUAGAGAGAUUAAUUGCAUGUUAUACAACUUCAUAUUUGUAUCUGAGGGCCACUUAAAUAAUAAUUCUUUAACUAAUUUUUGACUAGACUAAAUAAUUAUUAUAAACAUUAACCAGGAUAGAUAAUUAAGGACCCAUUUUAUCAAUGCUAUGUAAUUUUUUCUAUAAUACUCCCUCUGUCCCAUUUUAUGUGUCAUCAUUUCCUUUUUUAUUCGUCCCCCAAAAAAUGUAAUCUUUCCUUAUUUGGUAACUAUUUAAAGACAUAAUUAUAUUUUUACCCUUAUUGGUCCCACUUAACUAAAAAAAAGAUAGGAGCACAUUUUUUAAUAAAGGAUAAUUUGGUAAACAUUACCAAGUCUUUUCUUAUUUCUUAAACUUUGUGCCCGGUCAAAUGGCGACAUAUAAAAUAGGACGGAGGGAGUAUAUGGGUGUAUUGCAAUCCAAUCCAUCUAAUCUAAAUCUAUAGUAAAUUUAUCAAAACCCAAUCCAGUCUGCCCAUUUGCCACCCCUACUUAUAUAAGAAAAUUGAAGGAAAGGUGUCUUUUAAAUCUUGAAUGAAGGACUGGUGACAUUGACCAACUUAAAGGGUCAAACAUAAUUAGAAACCUUGAUUAAGUUAAUUUUGAACUUGAUUAAUAUUUUCAAAACUUUCUAAUACUUUACAAAAUACAAGUUAAUCCAUACCCCUCUGCUCUCCAAAUCAACUAUCUCUCUCCUCUCUCUCUCGACAGUUUCUCUCAAACUUCUCCUAACCAACAGUUCUGCAAAUUUCUCCCUCCAAUCCCUAGUGACUUCAACCUUCGGCUAUAAAUAAUUGGGAUUAGAGUUUAUUUUUGACUUUCAACCAUCAAUUGAUCUUACAACAUUGCUCUCCGAUGACAACAACAUCGAGUUCUUCAUCAUCCUUUUGUUCUUUCAUUGGUAAAAAGUUAGGGCUUUUAGUUAUGAAGAAAAAUAGGAACUUUAGUUAAGUUAUCUUCUCAUAUUAGUUAACAACUUCAAUAUUUGUUUCUCAAAUUUAAAAUGGGGAUCGAAGAAAACCCUAAUUUGUGCUUUUUUUUUUUUCUCUUUUCGGAGUAAAAUAUGAUUUUUUAUUGUUAUUGUAGUUCUUGUUGUCGAACUGUUGAUUUGAUUUGUUGGUUUUUGUUGUAUUUUAAAAAUUUUUUUUGUUAGUGUUUGUACAAACAAAACAACACUGAUGGUGUUUUUGGUCACCAUUGAUGUUCUUGGUGUGUGUGUUGUGUCGGUGUUGAUGGGUUGAUUUGUUGUUGUUCUUGAUAAAAAUAAUGUAUUUGAUAUUAAAUGAUGAUAUUUUUGUUAUUCUAUUGAACAAAAUCUUGCUACUGGUUUAUUUUUUUUUACAAUAAAUUAAUCAUAUGAUGCAACAGAUUAACCAUCUAUUGCAACAGAUUAACAAUUUGAUGCAACAAAUUAACCAUCUGAUGCAACAUAUGAAGCAUCUCUUGGAUAAAAUCUUAUCAACUAUUCCAACAGGACGACAUGUCCAAGAUUUUGAUUUCUUCCAAUAGAUCAUUCAUCUAUUGUGAUAGGUGACCCUUUUGUUGGAAGAAAUCUAAACAAUAUUGAUAUUUGAUAAUAGUUCCAUCAGAUCACUCAUAUGUUGCAACAAAUAAGUAAUCUGUUGGAAGAAUUCACAAUAGUAUUGAAACUGUUUUUAUUAUUUCCAACAGGUUACUCAUCCAUUGCAACAGGUUAGUUAUAUAUUAUAAUAGAUAACUCACCUAUUGAAAUAGAUGAGUGAUCGGUUGGAACUGUUAUUUUACUAUGUUGUACUUGUUAGAUUUACUAUUAUUCUUUUUUUAAUGGUGCAUUAAUUCAAUUAUAAGAUUUUUUAUUUUUCUGUUAUUUUUAGGUAAUAUGGCUCCCAAAGAAAAGAAACCAAAUCAAGUCCAAGUAAAGGAAUAAAUGAAGCAGGCAGAAUACAUCCACCACUCCAUGAGCUUUCUUUACAAGUGAUAUCUUAAUCAGAAGCAAAAGACAAUGAACACAGGGAUGAGGAAUGUUUCAAAAGAGAUGAUCCAAAUGCUAAUAUUUCUUCAACUGAAGAGCUGGUCAAAACCUGUAGCAUUGAUAGUUAUCCUGUGAGAAUAUAGUGUGAUGGUGCCACAGAUUUAAGUGGUGAUUUCGUGGCUACGCCAGCCAUGGGAAAAUCUUUUGAUACCUUUAGAAAAAUACUUCAAGACCAAAUAUUGUAUGCUUAUUUCAGGGACAACUACUUUGGGCAAUAUCUUGAUUUGUCAGAGAACAACAAUGCUUAUUUCCAAAUGACCAUGGUACAUGAUCUUCUCAAAUAUAGGUUUAUGUAUGAAAAUAAAGAUAAAAUGGAUGAGGUGUGGAUAAAUUACUGUGGCAUACCUGUUUGUUUUUGUUGGAAGGAGUUCGCCAUAGUUACUGGACUAAAAUGUUAUUCUCCUUCUCAACCCAUAUCUAUUCUAACCCAAAAAUUCCCCCGCACACCCAAAAAAGAAAAGGCAAGUCAAGUGAUGGUGAUGACUUAUUGUCCCUUAUUGGUCCAAGCUUCAAAAAUAAAAAUUUGAUAGAAGCGUUGAAAGGUAAAAGAAUUUCAAAGAAGCAUAAGAAAUCAUUGUGCUUGGAUUGGUUUGUACAUAAUAUUCUUUGUGCGAUAGACGUUAAAAACAACAUACCACUUGGUUUAAUAAAGCUCUCCGAUGAUCUUGAGACAUUUAAUAGCUUUCCUUGGGGUUAUGAAAGCUCCAAAAUGACUGUCAAAUAUUUGUUGACUCCGUUAACGCCAAAGACACUCAACUUAUAUGGCUUUUCAUGGUAAAUAUUUCUUUUAUUAUGAUUCAUUUAUUUUUUAUUGAAUAGUGCUUUUGAUUCAUUGGCAUUACUAUAGACUUGGGCAUUUGAAGUCAUUCCUUAUUUGAAAAAUAAGUGAACUGCCAGGAAAAAGUUUUAUGUCCAAGAAUUUUGAGAUUGUUGUCGGCCAAAACUGAUAAAAAUAAAAUUUCUUGAUCUCAUCAACCCGAAGGAUGCAGAAAGUCUAAUUCUAAUUAAGUUUUUAUUCUAGUUAAUAUUUUUUUUAAAAUGAUUUAAUCAUCAUUCUAAUAUAUGUACUGAUUUAUUUUAGAUUGUGCAUUCAUGGCUUGUUCUGACUAAUCGAGAGUUGAAGAUGCCAUUUUUUCUUAAUUUACGAUCUGUACAAACUUUAUGAGACCCUAAGGUCAUUGAUAGAAUAAAAAAGAAAUUGUUUGGAGCAACAACUAUCACAAAAAAAUAAUUUUGGGAUGGUGGGCUUGUUGUUGCUUAUGGUGUUAGUGGUGAUGGAGCUGUUAGUGGUGGUAGUGGUAUUGGUAGUGGUGCUGCUAUUGGGGCUAAUGAUUCUCUUCUUACAGUUUUUGAAACAACAAGCUAUUAUGGUUUUGACCAUACUGAUUUUACAAAUUUUUCCUCUCCUAGCGAAUGUUCUGCUUGCAAAUGUCAAAACUGCAAGGCAAAACAUGAAGGAGUGAUUAAUGGUAUUAAUGCAUUAACUGCCUCUAUAAAGAAAUUGACAUCUAAGAGGAGUGUCCUUCCAUCGAAGAGGAUUUUAUAUCCAUACACUCCAUAAGAGAUUAAGGCAGCUAAGAGGAGAAAAGAGAAAAUUUCCAAGGCAUUAUCAAACAUAAAAAAAAGCAAAAAUACAACUCCUCUAUCUUUGUUUUGCACUUCUGAGCAAUGUACAAGGGGCACAAGAGAAAAACAUGAGCUGAAAAAGGUGAAUAUUUACCAUUUGUUUUAACAAAGAAACAGACUACAUAUCCGUUUUAACCGAUAAAAUAUCUGCUGAAAAUUAUCAAAUAGAUAUAGACAUCUGUUGCAAUAGAUGACUAACUUAUUGCAUCAAAUGCAUUAUAUGUUGCAACGUGUAAUACCCCAAAUAUUUCUAGCUCAGCCCAGCCCUUAGUACAUACUUGAAGCACUUAGAACCUUAAAAUCAAGCUAAAAGUUGAGGGACUUAGUCAUUUUUACUCCCUUUAAACUUUGAAGAUUUUUAAAUCGACCUUUCAUGCUCUGAGACAAUGAAUUUUUAGUUGAACUAUGUUCAGGGAUGUAAAUAGCAAGUCUCAAGUAAGUUUCAGAAUUUUUGAAUGAGGUUUGGGCAGCAUUUGGAUUUUCAUUCCAGCAAGCAACCGCGAUUCCACCACGUCGUAGUAGAAAUAGUGAUGGAAGCCUCAUCACAUCGAGUGGAGACUAAUUCAGCAUUUGUCAAUUUCUAGAGGGUUACCGCAAUUGUACUGCAUUGCGGUGAAUCCUGAAACAGUAAUUGUCACAAUCCAGUGAGUCACCGCGAUUCCAUCGCAUCGCGGUAGGUAUCGUGAGGACCCACUCACCGCAUCAUGGUGAAGCCUCAAUCGGAAACCCAGUUACGAAAUUUAAAUCUCAAGGGCAGUUUAGUCUUUUGCUCACAUCUCCAAACCGUGAAAACAAAUGAUUAAGUAUAUUUUUGAGCAAAAUAUGUUCAUUAUUCAUCAAAUCCUUCUCAAAGAAAACCCUAGGCUUCAAUAUUCAACUUCAAGAAUCCCCAAAUUUCCAUCAUUCUUUUCCCAAAAUAGUUUAAAAUUUAGAAUUCUAAGAAUCAACCUCUAAGAGCACAAAUAGGAUCUCAAAACCAAGCUUCUUCAUCUAGUUCAUCAAUUAAGGUAUGUGAGAUUUUGAACAAGGAAAAAUCUUUCAUCCUUGAGCCCAAAACGAGUUUUUAUUUACAAAUUUACAUGAUUUUACAUGAAUUUUGAUUUAGUUUUCAUACCCAUUUAUUGCUACUUGAAAAUUAUGAUGUUUUAAGUGUUUUUGAUGUUGAAUUUCAUGCUUACUUUCAUAAAUUCAUGCGUAUGAUUAUAUUUUCCAGAUUUUGAGUUGGAUUAUGAAAGCUUACAUUAUCAAGCAUGAACAUUAUGAUGUUUUGACAUGAAUUUGAAGUAUGGAUUAUCAAGACCUAGUUGAAUAUUGCUAUUUCAGGAAUGAUUAUGCUGUCAAGCAUCCCAUGAUAUGUUUAUAGAUAAUUUUGAAUAAAGAUUUGAUCUUUAGCUAAGACAUGGAAUCCACUUUACAGCUUAAAUUCGAUUUUGAAUGAAUAGAUGCAAAAUUAGCUUUCAGUAUGAAAUAUUAUGACUUUGAAAAGCGAAUUUCCUACAGAAUGAGCAUACAUAUUAAAGGGAGUAGUAUUUAGCACCGAGCAGGAAAUGUGGGUUUAACGCAUCCUUCUUUCCUAGAACUACGAGCCAACAUAGAUACAUAUUCUGUAUUCCCUUUCUAUAUGGAUGACAUUUAUAGAUGUGAUCACUUAGAUUAGGUUAUACUCCCUGGUAAGAGUAUGACACCUCUCCACAACGUGAGGUUUUUCCCUUUAGGGAACAAGAUGUUGGACUUUAUGAUAACUUACAUGGUUUAUGCCUGUUAAAAGAACCUUCCAAACAGUGAUGAGCUUCAUAAUAGUUUUUAAAAAGUAUUUUCCCUAUAGUUUAACAGAAAAGAAUGAACGAUAACAGUUCAACUUUAGACUUUAAAUAUGACGGGUCACUAGAUUUACGCAGUAUGUUUCACUAUCUAUGAUUUAUGAUUUCAAAAUUUUAGUUAUUCCAGCCAUGUGAGUCAUUACAUAUAACGUGCAUAUUCUAUGAAUUUUGAUAAAAUUAAGAUAUUACUUUUACUUAUGCAUUCACCCCCAAAUGCUCGGUACAUCCUCAAGUAUUGAUCCACAUAUGCGUCUAUGUGCUACAUCAUUAAAUAAUGUAGGUUUAGGUGCUCAGUCUUAGCAGCGUGAGUGAUUUUGGGCAUCUAUAUCUGCAUCCCGACAGUUGUUAAGUCCUCAUGGUUGGAGGACCCAUUCAUCUAGAUUUUUAUCUUUCAUAGUAUUUGUUUAGUUUCUUUUAGUUUAGUUUGAGUCAGUUGGGGGUCUGUAUCAAUGGCUCUCUAGUUUCUUAGUCGUAGAGACUUGUCGGACUACUAACUAUUAUUUCCAGACUUUCAACAUCAGUUAUCCGGACAGUAUAUUUAGUUGAUGUUAGAUAGUUUUGAU